rnacentral:lncRNA from 1 species
ACUAACCACCUUGUAGUGAUAGAUUUGAGGGUAGCUAAAAUACUAACUAUCUUUUAAUAUUACCAAAUUAAAUCAAAUUUUUCAUCUAUUAUUUCUAUCAAACUAAAAAUAUAAAUUAAAAUUUUGAAUUCAGUUGUAUUAUUUAGAGUAUGUCAAGAAACGUGUAUAAUCUUCAUAAUAACAAUUAUUAUAGCAAGCAACAAACAUAAUAUAUGACUAAAAAAAUACUAAAAGUAACUAAUAAUAAAGUUUGGUGUACAAAAAUUAAAAUAAAUAUCUACAAUAAUAGUUUUUAUCUUUCCUAAUUUUUCUCAAUAUCUUUUUACCUUUAUCUCUUUUUCUUUAUUAAUAACUAUUAUUUUAUCAUUUUUAUGUAUUUAUUUUCAUUUUAUAUUAAUUAUUAUUACUCAUUAUUUAAUUGGUUGAAAAUAAAUAUGUAUUUUUUUAAAAAAAUAUUUUUAACAAAAUUUUGUAAUAAGAAAAAAUGUUAACCCAAAAAUAAAAUAAAAAUUAAAUUUUAAGUAAAUAUUUUGAUUUUUUUUUACUUUUUAAAAUAUUUUUAAAUACAUAAUAUUUAUUUAAUCUAAUUACAAUUUAAUAUUUUAAUGAUAACUAUAAAUCUUAUACAUUAAAAUAGACUCAUGUAAUGUACAUGAUAAAAUAAUAGUAAAAAAAUAUAUAUAUGUAAUAAAUUAAUUAUGAUGAUAAAGUUAUUUUGUUUAAGAAAAUUACAUUAUUAACAUUUAAAAAAAAAGGUAAUUUAUCACAUUAAAUUUAAUGAUCUGGAUUUAUCUUUUCUUUUAAACCAACUAAAAGUCCAGUUUCAUUUUUUAUUUAAUUAUCUAAAUUUACAAUUUUUUUUAGAUAAUUUUUAACUUAGUGCACUUUAAGGAUUAAAUACCGUUGUAUACACACACACGCACGCACGCACGCGCACACAUAAAAAAAGUAUCUUAUAUUUUUUUAUGUUUGUAUAGUAUUUAAUGAUUUCUUUAAUUUCUUAUAUAAUUUUAUUAGUCACCUCUUUAUAUAGUUUAUCUUGAGUAUUUUUAACGGGCAUAUUUAGCUUUAUGUAAAAUUUAAAUUAAAUCUUUAUAUUAGAGAAAAUACAAAAUAACUACUAAUGAUCACAUUCACUUCAAGCAUUAAGUGAGAAUUCAACUUUCACAUUUGUAGUUGCUUUUGUUUAUUCUUUCUUUGUUGCUACUCCUACUAAAUUUAUUUGAUUUUGUGUUACUUUUAACAAAAGAUAGUUUAAAUUUAAACUUGAAAUAAUACUUAUUCUAGUAUUUUUCCCUCAAGUAAAUUAAAUUUUGAAAAUUCAUAUAAUAUGGAGCAUGUACCAUACAUGGAUUUCUAACUACACUAAUAACUUGCCGUUGCAAACUAAGGAAAAUUUAUCCACCAAAUUAGAGUUUUUUUUGGACUUAAAUAUAUUUUUUGUCAUUGAUAAAUUAACAGAUUUUAUUUUUGGUUCCUAAUAAAAUUAUUUUUUGCAUUAAAUCCCUAAUAAAAUAAGAAAAUUAAUUUUUGGUCCUUGUUUUAUGUUUUAAUCCUUCUAAUAUAUCUUUUUUUUUUGUCUCUAUAGUAUGUAGAUCAUUUUUUAUUAGUCUUAUUUUUUUAAAGGAACUAAUAGAAAAUGAACAAAAUUUUAUAAGGACUAAAAUAAAAUAACAAUAACUAAAAAUAAAAUUUUUGUAUUAUCAGGAACUCGAUGGAAAAAAAAUUAUUAGAAAUCCAUAAUAAAAUUUAAUUAAUUUAUUAUGGACUAAAAGCAUAUUUAAACUUUUUUAUAAAAUUAGAACUAUCUCUUGCCUCAUUGAUAAAAAUAAUAAUUCUUCAUACUGCUACCAUUCAUGCUAAUUAAUCAAAGAAUUUAAUUUUAUGAAUGUUUAUUACAAAUGGAAAUAUUGUGUUUGUUCUAAAAUAUCAUGUGAAUCAAUUAGAUAAAGGAGGGAGUUAUAACUUCUCCAUUAUUAAUUAACCUCUCUCACCCACUCUCUUAAUAAACAACUUCUUCUCUACAAAAUGAUUAAAAAAUAAUUAUAAUUUUUUUUUUACCUAUAACCUUCCUCCUACUUACGUCAAAACCAAAACCAAAAGCACUCACACAAAGAAGUUACCUUCCCUCAUAGUGAAGAAGGAGAAAAUAAUGUCAAAGGUUGAAGGUUCCAAUUACGAGGAGCUUAGGAUGCAGAGAAUUGCAGAGAAUCAAGCAAAAAUAGAAGCUUUAGGGUUGUCCAAAUUGACCACCAUUUUCAAGGAUAGAAUUCAAAAAGCUAAGAAAAAGGAUAAAAAGAAGGCCAACUAUGAUGAUGAAGACUAUGUACCUGAAUAUGAAGGGGGACUUGGAUCAAAUUCUUCAAGUGAAAAUUACGAUAAGGACAAACUUGAUGAGUUUACUGCUACAAAUGAUCUUGAGUCACGAAAAAGAAAGGUAACUCUUUAAAUUUUUUAAUAUAAUGCUAAUAUACAUAAUUUUCUUAACAAAUGAGUGGGGUGGUUUUGUGAGUGAGAAUAAGAUAUAUUCUCAAUAAAAUUCACUCUUGCUUAAAAAAAUAAAAUUAGUUAGUGAUUAAGUGUGUCGUGAGUGUAUCAUUUGAUGCUAGGAAGUUAAAUUUGGAGAAUUGGUUAAUUUCAAUUGAAAAAUGUAUAUAUGUUGUUUAUGAAUUGAUUUAUUCUUUUAGGCAUGAAAAAAAUUGAGAUAUAAUUUUUCCAUUAAAUAUUCAGACUUUCUUGAUUUAUUACAAUUAUAAUUUAUAUUAUACACAAGUUUAACCUGUAUUUUAUUUCUUAUUUUUAUGAUUAAUCAUUGUAAUUGAUAGAUGAUGAAAUCAUCGAUAUUGAAUUUUAAAAGAGUCUAUAAUGAUCCAUCCAUACACCACUCUCUUGAUAAAGAAGUGAAUGAGUCUUUACCUAAUCAUGCAUCUCAUGCCUCAAAAUUGACCAAUGUAGAACAAGUUGAAUCAAAUGCAGGUACCUUUAUAGAAUAAUCUUGAAUAAAAAAAAUUAUCAUUGAAAAUGUUAUAACUUAUCUUAUUUAUUUUAGGCAAGCAUGUCAUGAAGAAGGGAUGUGGGCAUACAAUAAAUGCAAAAUUUCAAAAGAAAAAGGAAAAUCUUAUGAAAGUAUCGACAUCCAAUUUCCUCUACCAUUUUAUAAGAUUUGCGAAAAACAUGCAAAAUAUUUCAAGUUUGAGGCACAAGUGUGUAUUCGCCAAAAAACUCCUCUACAAGUUAAUGGUUGGAGUGAAAUUAGUAAAGAUGAUGUAGAUGAAAUAUGACGACAUGAAGGUUAGUAUAUAAUUAGGUCAAUUAUAUUUAAUUUAUUUAUAUAUUUGAAUAUUAGUUAUAUCUUCAAAUUGGUUUGAUAAUGUAUCUUGAUAGUAUUUAAUUUUUACUUUUUUUGAUGAAAACGUAUGAUAUAAGGAUGCUUUUAGUUUAUCUGACGAGGUGAAAGAAUAUGCAAUGAAGCAAAUUAAAUCUCAAUACAAGAAUAAGCUUUAUCAUUUACAUCAAGCUUAUCUUAAAGAAAAGGAUAGAUCAAAAUUUGUAUCUCGAGAAGAUUGGAAUUGGCUAAUUAAAAACAAGUGGAGUGGUUCAAAAUUUCAGGUAAAGUAAUUUUAUUAUUUUGAACAAAAUUUUUUAAUAGGUUUAUACUUAUAAUAUAAAAUCAUUUAUAUUUUGAUGUAGGAAAGAAGCUUGACAAACAAAGCUAAUCGAAGCAAGCAAGAAAUAAAAUCAAUUAUUGGCACAAAAUCAAUCGUGCAAAAGGCAUUUGAAAUGGUAACAUCUUUUAAUAUUUUAUAUUCAUUUUCUUAUAAGUUAUAUAAUAAUAACGAGUUUUUUAUUUUGUGAUUGUUUUUAUAUGAUAUAUGAAAGUUUGGUGAAAUUUAUAUAAAGGCAUCAUGCAUUAGAUUAUAUUAUUUAAUUUGUCUUUUACUAUAUUUAAUUUUAAUAGAAAGAAGAUUCAAAAUAUGGUAAAUGGCCAUAUGCUCUGGAAGUUUGGAAGGCCACACACAUGAGAUCUAAUGGAACUUGGUGCAUUCCAAAAGGAGAAGAAAUCAUGGUAAAGAAAAAAUUCAUUUUAAAGUCUUGGUGUCAAUAUUAGAAUUAAAGACAUUAAUUGUAUUAUGAUAUCAUAUCUAGUUAUAUUUUUGUAAAAUGUUUUUCUUUCCAUUUGUCAACUAAUAAUGUGAAGAUUUUAAUGUAAGUAUGAAAAUUAUACAUACUUUUUCCAUAUUAUACAGAAAGCUUUGGAGAAUGUGGGUGAUAUAUAUCAAGAGGAAAUUUCAAAAGCUCCUAUACCACUUGUUGAAAAUUUUGCCAUGGUAUUAGGAAGAAAGUCAAAUCAUUCUUUAGGUGUUGGUACUGCACCACUAACAAAGAAGUUUUCACACAAAUAAAUUAUUCAAAAUCAACUUAAAAAUGCAUAAAAUUGAGCAAAUAAUUUGGAGUUGAAAGUGCAAAAGUUGACAAAUAUUACCAAUGCACGUUUAACUCUAUGCAGUUAUUUCAGUUACUUCAUUUCCCUCACUCUAUCUAUUAUAACUGUUUUCCUUCUCUGUGUAGUGUUGCAGCUGUCAAGUCAAACUAACUGCCAUGCCAUGCACAUAAACCACUGCACUAUAUGUAUAUGGGUAUGCAUCUCGAUUUCUCCAUUUCCUACUUCUAUUAAAUAUAACUCCUCUUUAAACAAUACCUAAAUUCUGUACAAAAAAAAUACCUAAAUUAACUAGUUAAUUUUGAAAAUGCUUAAAUAUAUUUUUGUCAUUUAAAUUUACAUUUUUUCAAUUUUGUUUUUUUUUAAAAAAAAUUAUUCAUUUUUAGUUCAGGUAAGUUUAUGCUUUUUAAUUUUUUUUUCUUAUUUUUUUUCAUUUUUAGUUUAUGUAAAUUUAUAUUUUUUUAAUUUUCGUCUCUGAAAUAUAUUUUGCUCAUUUUUAAUUAAUCUAUGUAAAUUUGCAUUUUUUUAAUCAUAUAGACUUAAAAUGAAAAAAAAAAUAAAAUCUUAAAGAAAAUAAAAUUGAAAAUUACUUUAAGUAUAACAUUUUUAAACGUUAACAGGAAAAAUAAAAAAUACUUUAAUUCACUUUAAAUUUUGAAACUUCAAUGCAAUGUCUCUUCUAAUUUGUACUUUAAACUAUGUAUACAAUAUUUUAUUAGUUUUAUUUAGAAAAAGCUUAGAUGAAAAUUGGAUGUGGGAACUGUUAAUCAUAAAAAUUGUAAAUAGAUUUUUGAAAGUAUUUUAUAUUUUUAAGAAGUCAAUUUUUACUAGUGAUUCUAUUAAAAAAUAAUUUUUUAAGUAUGAAAUAUAAAAUUCAUUUUCAGCUGUAAGUUCUUUUUAGGCGAACAAGCAACUACAGAUUUCAAAUUAAGAGAAUUGUCUAAGUAUUAAUAAAAAUGGUGAUAAUAAUUUUUAUAGUAAUAUCCAUUGUAACAAUUUUUAUUGAAGUAUAAUUCCGAUAGUAAUUCAAAUUAUAUUGGUUUUUGAUAGAACAGUUUCUUCAAUACUAAUAAUAUUGAUCAUAAAUUUAGUCACGCAUAUUAUAGCAGUUCUAGUAAUAAUUCAAUAAUAAUAAUAAUAAGCAAUGGAGAUUGGAUAAAAGUACAGUUCAAAAAAGAAAUAGAGAUCGACAAAAAUAAAGGUUUUGAGAAAAAAAAUGGAAAUUGGAUAGUAAAGUUUAGAGAAAAAAAUGGAAAUUGAAAAAGGUAAAGGUUUUGAAGAGAAAAGGUUUAGAGAAGGAAUGGGGAUUUGAAAGAGUUAUUAAGGGUUUGGAGAAAUGCUAAAAAGUAAACAAAAUAAAUUUUAUUAAAAAAAGUGAGAUGAAUACAUACAUUGCGACUUUCCAACCAAAAGUCAUUUUCUUGUGCGACGUUGUUGGUAUUUGAGGAUUUGAGUGGUAAUGAUGAUUUAAUCUAAGAAAAAAUGUCUAUCGGAGGUCUUAUUCAUGGACUUCUAAUUAACAAUAACGGUCAAAUUAUAAGAUUUCGACAUGUGUACAAAUAUAUUUCUAACUACUUAGAUCUAACGACAUCUAAUGUCUUCGAGUAAUCCUUUAUUGCCAACCGUUGUAACUUUUAUCUUGAAUUCAAAUUCAAAUUUCUUAUUUGAGCAUUCCAUCUGUGACGCCCUCUACCCCUCACAUAUAUGUACUAAUAAUAAAAGAAGUAACAAAUCAAAAUUAAUUAAAAAUUUUUAAAACGCAUUUAAAUACAAGUCUUUCAAAAGGGUAAAAGGCUCAAUUCACUUCUCUAACAUCAUAAUAAAACUUGUCCAAAUAAAUAAUAAAUCAUCUCGGCUCAAAACAAGGUCAUCCAAGACUUCAUGCAAUUAAUAUAAAAACCUAUACCCUAAUGUCACAUCCUAUCAGAGCAUUGUGUUCCUGUGUCCUCUAGCAUGAGGUUCUUCAUAGUCACCCACCUAAUCAUCUGCUCCCACGAACACAAAGUUCGAGAUCAUCACAGGAUCCAAACACAAAUUACACACGGGGAGUGAGUUAUCACAUUCCUAACUAAAAAAGAGAAACCAGACAUCAUAUAGGUAUAAAUAUCAUAUAAACAAAAUAUAACUUACUUAAACAUAGCUCACGUCAUUCCAUCACUUUGUCGCACAACAUCACAUCACAACACCGCACAUGUCUCGUUCAUUUUCACGACAUUCACGUACUCAAUGAUCAAAAAACACAAUAUCACUAAAUCAAUUCAUAUCAAUCAAUACACAGACGUUAUGCAACAGAUACACUAAGACUCAAUCCUAUAUGCAAUGUGGUACCAUGUUAGUGAAAAACCUCGUCGGGCGCCUAGGAGUAUAUGACAAGACAAACUACACACUAACAAGUCAGGUCACUCUCACUAGGUAAAAUCAUAGGGAGACCAGUCAAGGUCACGUUAUUUUGCAAGAAUGCUCCAACCAUAUGGAAUCAACAUAGGCUUAAAGGAGCAAUCAAACCGAGUGUAUUUACCCCCAAUGCCUACACUCUGAAGAGUCCGUCAGGGCCUCUACCUCCUGAUUCAAGUCCAACCCAAAAAAUAUUUUAGCACACAGACUCUAUCUAUGAACUGUACAAAACACACGACUCCUUAAUUAUUCUCAAAAUAGUUUUAUCUUGUUGCGCUUGUGAUUAAACUCGUUGGGUCCCCACAGUGGUUCCCAUCAUAAUACUCGCCGUACAUUAACUCGUCGCCCUUAAAGGGUCUUAGCAUUAACUCGUCGCCCUUGAAUGACCUUAUAGUCAUGUGAUUGCAUAAUCCAUAGCUCAUAACUCAAUGCACACAAUAUCUCAAUGCACACAUAUAUAUUACAAGUCAAUAUAUACUCAAUUUAUCAUAUAUAUUCGGUCUCAAUCAUAAUGGUAUAAUCUCAAAGUAGCAUGUUAUCAUAUCUCAUGAAUCAUAUACACUUUACCUAUGAACUAUGCAAUACACACAAUUACUCAAUUGUUUUCAAAUAUGCAAUACACACAAUUACUCAAUUGUUUUCAAAAUCGUUUUAACUCGUCGCACGUGAGAUUAAACUCGUCGGGUUCCCACAGUGGAUCCCAUCAUAAUACUCGUCGCCCUUAAAGGGUUUUACAAUUAUGUAAUUGCAUAGUUCAUAGCUCACAACUCGAUACAUACAUCUCAUCUCAAUACACAUGUACUUCACCAUUCAUCAGAGGUUCAAUUUAUCACAUACUCACAAUUUGAAUCACCAUUUCAUAAUCUCCACAUAACAAUUUAUACAAAAGUUUUAUCACAACAUGGGGAGUAAAACCCCCUCAAAUAAUCUCACACAAUUAUAUCAAAAUCAUAGGUCAAAACACAAAAACAUCAAGAGCACUCAACUUUAUCAAUCAAUUCUCAUAAGAACAUCAAUUGGUACGUAAAACACAACAAUAUUGUAUUUAUAAUCGUAAAGGAAAAAUUAUAAUUCAAUAAAAAUCCCAAAAUAAACCUCAACUUAAUAAUACUCUAAGGAUCCCUACACAUAUUCAUUCUAACCCCAAUUGCGAUAACUCAUCCCUUACCUCUAAGUAGGCUCACGUGUGUACUGUGACAGUUAUAACAGUAUCUCCAGCGGUUUCUUGAGAUUCCUUGAGUUUUUCCUCUGACUGCUCUGAUAGGGUUCCCGAAUGUUAGGGAGAAAGAGAAGGGAUUGAAGCUUUCAUUCCACUGUCUAUGUGCAAUGAGUAUUUCUCCCUCCGAAAAUAUUAUUCUGCAAAUCCCAACGGUGGAGAUGUGUGACAGUGAAACGCGAACCACAUAUCAAAACUUCAUGACAAUCCAACGGUUAACAAGUCUGGGAUCAUAGUUUUACUAAGACAAUUUUGGGUUUCUACGGGAAAAGAAAAAGCUACGAUGCAAAGGGUAUUUUUCUUAGCUCAAAUUUUAUUUGUUAAUUCCUACAUUGAGAAUGUUCGGAACUGAGUUUUGAACCUGGUGUUCAAAUUUCAUGAUGAUCCAACGGUGAAUGAGUCAAGAUCGUCAUUUUUCUGAAACAUGUUUGGUGAUAUGCGAGAAAAAGAGAGGGUUUUGGGAGGAGGAGAAGGGAAAACAAAAUUGAGAGGAAGAAGUAGCGUAGAGAGUAUCCUCAGUUUGAAAACUGACCUAAGAUGCCUCUAUUUAUAGAUAGGAUACUCAUAGUCUAUUAUUUACUCUAUUUAUUUAUUUUUAUUAUUUUUUAAAAAGGAACUCUAUUUUAUUUCCUAUCAAAUGAAUAAAUCAAAUAUAUUUUUUUCUUCAAAUCAUUAUUUUAAUACAAUUAUUUCUCUUUAUUUAUUUAAUUAUAAAAACCUCACCAUUUUCUAAAACUUUAUUAUUUGUUUUACUAAAAAGUCAUUUUAAUUUAUUUACAAAAAUGAGAUGUUACACCAUCCCUCCAUAUUAAUUAGUAGUAAUUUUAUUGAAAUCAUCUUCAUCAAAACAACAACUUUUAACUGUGUAAGACAACAUCAAAACUAAUUUUAUCAAAACAGUUUUCUUCAAAUGCACACUUCCUCAUCAAAAUGUCUCCAUCGAAAAUGAACUGAGUUAAUAGAGUGUUAAGACACAUUUUUUAUGAAAGAGUUUUUAAAAAAAAUUAUAAAUUUCUAUCAAUGAAAUUCUAAUGUCAAUGAUAAAAUUAAAACUUGCAUCCUUAAAAAUCUAUUAUUAGUUGUACAAUAUAUUACUUGAACCUAGUUUGAUUUUAUAUUUUUUUACAUUAUUCAUAAUAUUACUUUACUCUUAAUUAUUAAUUAGUUUUAGGACAAUCUACAUUUAGCAGUCUUAAAAUUAAUUAUAAUAAACACUUAGCCAAUUGAAUCCUACACCUCCCCUUUUGAAAUAUCUCCAAACUAUCCUACAAGGCUACAGGACAUCACUGGGGGAAUUUUGCUUCUUUUUCUUCUUCCUUUUUAAGUUCAUUUUUAAGGUCUUUUUAGUUACACUUUGUUCACUUUCUCCCUUUCCUCUUGGUUUUUUAUUGUUGAGAGAGGUGCCGCUUUGGUCGAGUGACAGUGUUACGGAGGUUUGUUAGUGGUGAUUGUUGCAGUGGUUGGUUCAAUUGUUAAUAGAGAUACAUCAGAUGUUGGAUCAAGUGGCCUCGGAAUAAUUAAGAAGGGGGGGUUAAAUUAAUUAUUAAUGUACCUUGACUAAUUAAAACUUAUCCUUCUUAAUGUUACUAGAUUCAAUUAGGCUUUACUACUAAGUUAUGUAACUUAAACAAAAGUAAAGUGUAAAAGUAAAGUACACUGCGAAAAUUAAAAAGUGUAGGGAAGAAGAAGACAAACACAAGAAUUUUAUACUGGUUCAGCAACAACCCGUGCCUACACCAGUCCCCAAGCAACCACUGGUUCUUGAGAUUUCUUUUAACCUUGUAAAUUCUUUUACAAGCAAAGAUCCACAAGGGAUGUACCCUCCCUUGUUCUCUUUGAACAACCAAGUGGAUGUACCCUCCACUUGAACUGAUCCACAAGAGAUGUACCCUCUCUUGUUCUCAGUUACAAUAACCCAAGUAGAUGUACCCUCUACUUGUACCACAAAGGAUGUAUCCUCCAAUGUGUUAAGACAAAGAAUUCUCAGGCGGUUAGUCCUUUGAAUCUUUGUAAGGGGAAACAAAAGAUAUCUCAGGAGGUUAGUCCUUUGAAAUCUUUUGUUUAAGGGAAAUGGAAGAAUCAAAAGAAUUAUUAGGCGGGGUCCUUUGAAUUCUCUUGGAAAGGGAGAAGAGAGACACAAAAGAUUUCAGGCAGUUAGUCCUUCGUUCUUUUGGAAAAGGAAGAAGAGAGACACAAAAAGAAUUAAGGCGAUAAGUCCUUGUUGAAUUCUUUUUGGCAAAGGGAGAAGAGAAUGAAAAGAUAUAACACACUUUUGUUUUCUGCAGAAUUUUCACUCGCAGAAGAACAAGGUUUAAAAAUGAAACUUAGAAAGCUUUUUGGCAAAGGAAGAAGAAGAAGAAAAUAUGAGCAGGAAAGAAUUGUAAAGGUAGAAAAGUUUUAAAGGUUUCUCAAAAGUUUGUUCAAGAAGAUGUUCAAAAAAUAUUAUUGAAUGAAAGUCAAGGUCUUGCUUUUAUAGACUCUUCAUGUCUGGUCAAGAAAACCAUUGGAAGAGUUAUAACCUUGAGAAAAUCAUGUCAAGAGUUACAUCUCUUGACCUUUUAUUCAAAACUUGUCAUUGGUAAUCGAUUACCAUAAUCAUGUAAUCGAUUACACAAUGCAUUUUAUGAAAAGAUGUGACUCUUCACAAUUGAAUUUGAAUUUCAACGUUCAGACACACUGGUAAUCGAUUACCAAUAUAUUGUAAUUGAUUACACCAUUUAAAAAUCAUUUGGAACGUUGCAAAUUCAGUUAAAAGCUUUUUGAAAUCAAAUUUUAUCACUGGUAAUCGAUUACAAGAAACUGGUAAUCGAUUACCAGAGAGUAAAUACUCUGAUAACUUAGAAAAAUUUGAGAAAAAUCUUUUGUAAAACAAAAUUGUGCUAUGUUUGGUUUUUAAAAAAUCCUUUUCAAUACUUCCCUUGUGAAGUCUUCUUGAUUUCUUCUCUUGAAUCUUGAAUUCAUCUUCUCUUGAAUCUUGAAAUUAAUCUUGAUCUUGAACUUGUUGACUCAAUCUUGAAAUCAUUAUUUUGGGCUUUUUGUCAUCAUCAAAACUACUUGAUUUAUACUUGAAUCAUCAUCAUAAAGUUUGUUUCUACAAUCUCCCCCUUUUUGAUGAUGACAAUCCUGAAAUCAAGAAACACAUAUACAUUCUUUUUCCUAGUCGACCACUCACUUAAUUCUCCAUAUUCUCCCCUUUUGUUUUUGAGUUUAAGCUUCACUUGAAAUUAAGUUAUUUAAUUAUAUGAGUUCUUGAUUUAAUCCCUAUUUUCUCUCCCCCUUUGGCAUCAACAAAAAGCUUUUUAUUCUCACCUCGAACUUUGAAAUUAAGCUUUGGGAUAAAAAUGGUCAUUGACCAAUCCCUAUUCUAUGACUUGACCCAAUUAUCUAGUGAAGGUGAACUUGACACAAACCUUUGGGAUAAAGCUUUUUAUUCUCACCUCGAAAAAGCUUUAACUAAUUCAGAAUAAACAAGCAAUUUCAAAGACAUAAAAGGAGUGAGAUUUGAGUUCUGAAAUGCCUGAAUGCAUUCAAAACUCUCAUUGGAAAAGAAAUCCAUGUCUAUGAAUUUAGGAUCGAUAAUGGAACGAGAGGAGAAAAGGUUUGUGUACCGUAUCCGUUGUUCUUCUGAUGAGAACAGCAAGGAAGAGGAAAUGGAGGAGGGAAUCUAUGUUUCCUGAGCCUCGAAGUGCCGCUGGCUUCGACUCGAAGAACCCUUGUGCUUUUUUUAUGGUUCCUCCAUUUGAGAGAGUUAUUUGAAAUUUCAAUCGGUUAAAGUGAUAGAGAAUGAAAAAAGAAUUUUGGGAUUUGUGGGACUUGAUUUGGACAAGAAAUGAGCAAGAUAUGACAGAAAUAUGAAUUGGGAACGAGGGUUCGCGAGAGGAAUGAAGAGUUGCAGAUUUCUAAUUUUGAAAUCUGAAUAUAUAGGAGCAAGGACGUGUUGUAAUCGAUUACAGCAUUUGGUAAUCGAUUACACUCUUCCCGACUGUCUGUAAUCGAUUACACUAUUGUAGCAAUCGAUUACCAGAGAGCAUUUUAGCCAAACUAAAUGCUGAAUGACUCUUAAGUGUAAAAUGGAUUUGAAUGAAAACCAAAAUACUUUUAAAAAAUAAAUAUAUAUAACAUUAAAUUUUUUAAAACACUUUAUGAAAGAACUUUAAGCAAGUAAUUCACUUAUCACAUUCAAAUCACGGGUUCUUUUCUCUUCACACUUGACAGGAAAAACAGUAAAGAUGGGUUUGAAGAACAACAUGGUGGUGUUAAAGGUGUGUUUCUUGGUUCUUUUCCUUGUGGGGGUUACUAAUGCACACAUGGAACUGAACCUCUUCAAAAGUGAUCACUCAUCAAGUGAUGAUGAGUCUUCAAAACCAUGCUGUGAUCUCUGCAUGUGCACAGCCUCAAUGCCACCUCAAUGCCAUUGUGCAGAUAUUAGGUUGAAUUCAUGUCACUCAGCUUGUGAUCGCUGUGCGUGCACACGCUCGAUGCCAGGCCAGUGUCGUUGCCUUGACACCACCGACUUCUGCUACAAACCUUGCAAGUCCAGUGAUGAAGAUGAUGACUAGGAAUUAAUCAACAAAAGCUCUCUCAAAUGAACAAAGCCCUUUAGGCUUUCUUUGUCUUUUAUGUAAGGGAGACAAAUAAGACAAGGAAUAAAAAGCUCGCAGUGGCCAGUAAUUUGCUUUUGGCAAAUUUUGGUCAUUUUUAUCACUUUGUUAGAUUCCAUUUUUCAUGAAAAAAAAAAUCGCCUAAAAUAAAGUUAAUUAUAAAACAUAUUUGAUUUAAUUUUCAUUUAAAAUAAAAUCAGAAACAAAUCAAACUUUUACGGUUUAAUUCAAUUAUAUUUUUGUAUUUUUUUACUAAAAUAUUUUUUUAUUAAAAUUUAUAUAAUUUCUUUUGAUCUUUUAAAUUAAAUUAUAUUAAAAAAACUUGGUUAUAUUAAUCUAUAAAACUUAUUAAUAUGUUUGAUUUUAUAUAAUAAAAUUUUAUCAAAUUUUCAUCAAUUUUAAACCAAUUACACCUAAAAAGAAUACUCUAAAAAAAGUAACAUAUGUUUUAUAAGUUUCAAUUACACCGUAAAACUCAAAUAAUUAAUAUACAUAUAAUAGUAAAGUAAUUAUAAGUGUUAAUAUAACUUAAAUGAUAUACACAUAAAAUACAUAACACUAAAAUAAUUAAAAUAAUUAUAAAUGUUAAUAUAAGUGUUAGAGAUAAAAUAUAUAUAUAAUACUAAAAGUAAUUAUAUUGAUUAAUAUAAGUGUAUAAUUAUAAAUGCUAAUAUAAGUGUUAGAGAUAAAAUAUAUAAUACUAAAGUAAUUAUAUUGAUUAAUAUAAGUGUUGGAGGUUUAGUUGAAACACAACUCACAAACCAAUUUGCUUUGAAAAAUCAUUCAAACAAAAAAAAAAUCAAUUUGUAUUAUUUUAUAUAAUUUUUUAUUUUUAUUUUUAGAUAAGUUAGAUAUCAACACCUAGAAUAAAGUGUGUCAACCCAUGCUAUAGGGCCAGACCCACAGUUGUAAGCUACAUAUAAGAUAUUUAACAUAAAAACAGAUACUACACUUAUCUUAACAUAGAGGCCAAAAAAUAGAAUAUUUUAUGAUAAAACAUCAAGUGAUUGUUAUCUCUUCUCACCAAUGUGGGAGUUAGUAAUGUACUUAGUUCAAUAAAACACUAGUAAUUAAUUUAACGAGUGAAUUGAAAAGAAACAGCAAUAACAAGUGGUUUUGAGAUUGCAUGUCCUUGCUCUGCACGAAAAAGAGAAAUCAUAAUUCCACAACGUAGUUGUCCUGUUUAAUGUGUUGAAUCUUGAAUUUUUCAAUACAGAAAUUCAUGAAUGCUCCUGAAUCGAAAUUGACUCACUCUUUUUUGCCCCCCUCCUCAAAUCCCUGUAUGAAGAGAGUUUGCAUAAUUGAAGAAUGAGGAACACAAGACAUUACAAGUACACACAUUUCAAUAGCAAAAGUUCUAGGUGAGGCUUUGGAUAAUACAAGCGAACAUAGGGUACUGAUCUGUUUAAUCUUUUGCAUAGCAGUUCAACAAAAACAGAAUCAAUAACCGUUCAAAAAUACGUGAAGCGUGGCAUGGUUCACUCUAAGCAGAACAAAGAGCUGAACUGAAACGUACAGAUAAAAGCAGAAUAUAUAGAAGUUUGAACUGAAAUUGCACAGCCCUCAAUAAUCGAAGGCUCUUCCAAAAACAGGCGUAUACCGCUUUGAGUGACGAACACACGGUAUUCUUUAGUAAAAGGCGAAAGAAUAAUUCGCUUUGUGUUCAUCACACGGUUCCGAAAAUGGUUGUGUAACAGGCCUUUCAUUUUAUGGUGUAAACAGUUCACUUGCUAUUAUAGUACCACUCGAUGUGGGGCUUUGUUCAGAAAUGUAACCGCAGGUAGCAAGUCUGUUUCUUUGUGCUUAUACUUUUUUGUUUUUGUUUUUCCACAUAUUUCUUUCUUCUUUAGAGACAAUUAUUCUUUUUGAAACACAAUGGGACACUAAUUAAAUGCGGGAAUUCAAACUUUAAUUCAUCACAUUAUAAUAGACAAUUCCUUCUGCUAAACCCAACCUCCAUUGAUGUGCUUUUAUACUUUUAACUAAUUUCUAUGGUGCAAGUGGCAAGCAUCACAAUUUCUGCCAAGAAUUCACGGUCACCAUGCUGGUCAUCUUUUUUAGGAUCUUCAUUGCUACAAGUGAGAUGCUGAAGGAAAAAGUGUAGUCAAACUUAUUCUUAUUGACAUUUUUAAUAAACUUGUUCAAAUUUUUUGAGAGGGUAAACUUGUUCAGAUAUUGCAUGAUCUACUGCAAAUAUGUACAUUUAAAUUUAAUUAUCAUUUGCGUUUAAUCGAAAUGUCUCCAUAAAAACUAGUUUUCCAACCAUUAUUGUUUGAAUUCAACAUGUAACAACUACUAAAAGUAACUAGUUUUAGUACCAACUAAAAAAUAUAAACAGGUUAAAGUAGAGCUAUAAAAAGACAUUCUGAAUCUAAUAAAUAUUGGAAGCUAAACUAUAUAUAUCUAAAAUAACAACAGUAUAAGGAAUUUGUAAGCCUUCCUUAUUUCAACUCUAAUUCAGAUUCUCAAUUUAAUAAUGUUUAUCUUUAAUUAGGAUUCUAAACUAGAAACACAUGACGAAAACAAAACAAAUGAUAAUAAUAACAAAUUAACAAUAAUAUAAUAAAAUCAAUUCCAACAAAUUUACUCUAAUAAUAAUCCUGACUACCGUUUCAGUGAGGGUAAUGAAUUGCAGGGAUUAAUUUGUGAUAUGACGAUGAAUCAUGUAACACGAAGAUAAAUUAAACUAGCCUCACAUAUAUCUCAACGAAGAAAAAUGUAGCUUAAUUAGAUCAACGGAAACAGAAGAAUCGAAAAACUAUGUUACACAUAAUAAUAGGGCAAUGCAUAUCAUGGAUUUUAAAGAAGAUAAUUAACAUAAGAAAAGAUCAAUGGAAAGGAAAGAGGAGAAAAUUACCACGUGAAGGUGAAGCCUAAUGAUCGUGUUUUUGAUCCUUUGUUGAUGUCAUUGUUUCGUCUUCAUCAACUCGUUGAGGCCGUUCUUGAAGAAUAUGUGGAAUAAAAAAGAAGUGGUGAGUUUUUAUGUUAAUUUCGUACCUCCCCUUUUUUUGUUCUUUUCUUAUGGCCCCCUUCACCAUUUUCAUCAAUAUACAUUACUAAAAUACAUGAAAAUUAGCUUUAUAUGUAAGCAAAAUUAUUAGGUGGAGUUAAUAUGUAGCUAUAUACAAAUUCAAAUAAUACAGCUAGCAUGAACAAUCAUACAUCCAAUUAUCAGCAAAGUCAGUUAAAGUAUUAAAUUGAAAAAACAUUUAAAAGUUGAGAUAAGGGGCUCGCAUUCUUUAAGAGGGUGGGGUGGAAAAAGGUUUUAAGAAGUCUUUUUAGUGUAAGAGAAAGGGGAGAGGCCAUUAAAAACUUCUCAGUCUUUCCACCACAUCAUGAAUUAAUAUAUAUACUUGAACCUUUCAUCUUUUUCAGUUUCUCUUAAUCCAAGAUUUGAAUUUCUGAAAAAUAUACACGUAGUGAUGUAAAGGUUGAUUAAGUGCAUGUGUGAAUCAAAGUGUAAACGUUCAGAAGCCAACACAGGUACAUAGAGACCUGCCAAGAAGGACAGAUUUGAUCAACCGUUUGUGUGUGUGUGUGUGUGUUAAUUAGAAGUUAGAACAUAAAGAAACAUUCAAUCAAAAUAUGUAUUGGCCUAAGCUUAAUUUGUAACAAUUUUCUCUUGCAGGGUGAGCAAACCAAGUUACAUUUUUUCAGCCAUUGUAAUUUUGACCUACCUUUCCCAUAUAUUUUAUAUUUUUUUUACCUUUUUUUGUCUAAAUUAAUAUUGCCACUUGAUAGUUCCUAUAUGUUAAAUUGCGACUUUAGGAGAUUUAGCCAUAAUUAAAAAACAAUAAUAUAUAGUGAAAUAAGUUGGUAGAAAUCUAGUAAUUAAAAGCAUAGGUCGUAGUUUAUAACUCUUAAUUGAAUUUAGCCUUUUUAAGCCCAUUUUGCCAUACUAUAACCAAUUACUCGAAAUCUUAUUCAUCAAUUUCAUAUGUCAGUUAUCAAAUUACAUCGUGAAAGAGAAAGUGGAAUCUGACAAAUUCAAGUUGUACCAAACCUGCUGUCAUCUCAAUUCUAACCUGUUGGAUGAAAUAUAUAUUAGGAUUAGGCUAUUGAUCAUAAAUUUAAUAUGGGAUUUUAACAGCCUACAUCGAUCAUGACUUGAUCUAGGCUAGGUUAUGUGGUACAAAUCAAGUUUUCUCGGAUUUUUUCCUCAUUUAAUCAUAACCUUGAGUUAGAGUAUUUUUGUAGGACCAACAAUAACUUGUGGUCACUUACAUUGGACUCGUGACCAACUCAAUUAGAACCCACUUGAUAAAAUAUAUGAUUCAGCUAGACUUUAAGUUUUAAGCACAAAUUAGAUCUUAUCUUUUUUGUUUUUUUUUUAUCACAAAUACGAUCAUAGCAUGAUAUAUAUAGACUUGGCCCACAAAAAACUUUAAUAUUUUUUUAUGGUAUCAUUCCAAAUUCCUUCAUCACAACAUUGUGAAGAAUCUCACAUCUUUUUAGUGAUUAAAAAAAAUUAUAAUAUUGCUUACAAUUUAAAACUGAAACAAAAUAAAACUACAAAAUUAAAAAUUGAAAAAAGAUUUUGAUUUUUUAAAAUAUAAAAAUUUAAAACUAAAAAGGUUAAUUAUUCUGUGGUCCCUAUACUUGUACUAAAUUUUUAAUUAAAUUGAGUUUUUUUUAAUUGAAUCUCUAAACUUUUUGAUUUUAAUUGGAUCUCCCGUUUAAUUGAUGUUAUGAAAAUUAACCACAAACAUAUAAUUAAAGGCGUAGACAAUUGACUCAUACUUCUAAAUUAAAAUAUGUUAAAAAUAUAUUUGAGUCAGUUCUAAAAUAUUUGCGUAGAAUUUCAACUUAUAUAAAUACUAGACUUUUACAGUUUGUAAGCUUUAAUGCUUAUAUAAAUACUUAUAAAAGAAGUCUCAAUUCCAAACCCCCAAAGUCGUGUAUUACACAUGUUGUAAGAGCAUUAUCUUACAACGCAAUGCUUCACAGGUGUUAUAUUUUUAAGAAAUUUUAAAUUAAACUUUCAAUAUAUAUAUAUAUAUAUAUAUAUAUAUAUAUAUAUAUAUAUAUAUAUAUAUAUAUAUAUAUAUAUAUAUAUAUAUAAUGACAAUACUAGGCUAACACCUGAACCUCUUAUCCAGUUCUCCCUGUAUACAAUGCUAAUAGACACGCCUAGCCCAACGUGGGAGCAAAGUCAGUCAUGAUAUCCUGCAUGUGUGCCACCUUUGAAAUGCAAUGCAGAAAAGAACCAAGAUAUCACUAUUCACUACUGCUCCAUGACUCAGAAAAGAACCAAGUCAUCACGUUUCCAUCUGCAUGCAAAUGAUCCUCUUAAUAUAAAUAACCCACUUCAGUGGCUCUUUUAAGUAAUCUCUUCACAGAAGAAAAAAGAGAAGAAGAUGGGUUUGAAGAACAACAUGGUGGUGCUAAAGGUGUGUUUGGUGCUACUUUUCCUUGUGGGGGGUACUACUAGUGCCAGCUUGAGGCUGAGUGAGCUUGGCCUGCUCAUGAAAAGUGAUCAUCAUCAACACUCAAAUGAUGAUGACUCUUCAAAACCAUGCUGUGAUCAAUGCGCAUGCACAAAGUCAAACCCUCCUCAAUGCCGCUGUUCAGAUAUGAGGCUGAAUUCGUGCCAUUCAGCUUGCAAAUCUUGUAUUUGCGCAUUAUCGUAUCCUGCACAGUGUUUUUGUGUUGACAUAACGGAUUUCUGCUAUGAACCUUGCAAGCCCAGUGAGGAUGACAAGGAAAACUACUAAUGAACAAGUGUUAUGCAUGUAAGCUCUCUCUCCAAUGGGCAAAGCCCCCUUUAGGCUUUGUUUGUUAUGUAAGGAAUGACUAAAUAAACAUGGAAUAAAACUUCCUCUCUUUUCGUGGCCCAUAAUUUGCUUUCUGCAAAUCUGGGUCUUCUUUAUUCCAAUGUUAAUUAAUUUGGCCAAUUUUAUAGUUUUUCGUUUGCAUUUGGUUCUAUGAUUUCAGGAUUUAUAAAUAAAAAAAUGUAUAAGUUAACCAAAUAGUAGUACCUAAAAACAUUUUCGUGGAACACUUAUAUGAGUUGUUUAAUUAAUUUAAAUAAUGUUGUUUAACUUUUUUUGAUUGGAACAAGAGUUCUCUAAUUAUACAAACACCUUUUGUAUAGGUAGUGCCCAAUCUGAACUACCAAGUACAAAUUGACUUCCUUCCAUUUUCAUACUCUCAAAUGCAUAAGAUACUUCUCUAUUGAAAAAUAAAUUUGUAUAUCCACGAUCCAAGUUAUCAUAUAAUCAAUUCUAAUUUUAAUAAUAAAGUAUUAUUUUAUUUUCAUUAUCAUAUUUCAGUAUUUGAUUAAAUGAUCCAUUUGAUAAUGUCCUUGAUUAAAAUUAAAGACUUAUUAUUAUAAUAGAGAUUAUGAUAAUGAAAAAUAAGUUUGUUCUAAUUUUAAUCUAAAUCGUUCUUGAUCAUAGGAUUAUUGUAAAUAAGAUAUCAAUAAUCCGGAUAUAUUAAUAUAUAUAUGUGAUAGUAUUUAUUGGAUAAAUAUUAAUAGAUUUUAUUUGUUAAUUUGCAUAUAUAGAUGAGUUACAUGUUGAUGUGAUCAUUGAACUGAUUCAAUUGAAAUUUUCUAAUGGUUAAAAUUUAUCAUAAACUGUCAAUGGAAAAUUCUCAAGAAGAGGUAUAAUAGCUUUCUUUGACCUGAGAUUGUCAUAGUAAUUAACAUGUUAUUUGUUGUAUUUUGAUUCCGGACACCUAAUGCUUUAGAACACUUGUUGAAUGAAUAUUGGAUAUGAUUAAAUACCUGUAGAAUUAAUGAUUAAUCAAGAAGGAAUCCAUCAACUCUUGGUAAUGAGUUUGAGUUCUAUGAAUAAAAUUAUAUCCUACGAAGAAAAUUAAAUGAAAGAAGAAAUGAGUUUCUUAAUUCAUAAUGAGUUAACUCAAAAAGGGUUUGACAAUAAUAUCAUACUCUAGAGUUAACCCAAAGCUGUAAAGAUGAAAAAAAUUAUUACACUACUCUUCUAAUGGUUCUUGAAAGUAAAAUGUUACUUCAUGCUAUCCAGAUGCGUUAAGGAGUAUUGCUAGACGUCUAUCUUGAUUAGUAUAUUAAGUUUAUUAAUAUAUUACCAACUUGUAUUGAACCUACAGGGUCACACACAAACGAGUGUUCUAAUCUCUGUUAAAAAAAUUAUUUUAAUAUUUGAUGAUUAAUUAAAUUAGAGAAUUUAAUAUGAUCAAAUGAUUAAUUGAUUUCAAAAAGGUGAAAUAUUAUUAUAUUUUUACUAGCACUGAAAAUAUAAAUAAUAUGAAAGAUUUGGUAAAAGAAGAUAAACAAACAUGUAUGAUUUUGUAUUUGGAAUUUGGGUUGAAAAGGUAGUUAGAUACAAGUUUGACUUGGUCAAUUAUUAUUUUAAUUUUAAUUGUUAAAUGAUUAGCAAUAAAAGGUAACAAAAAAUAAUAUAGCUUAAAAAAGGAUACUAUCAAUAUAGAUACAAGUUUGACUUGGUCAAUUAUUAUUUCAAUUUUAAUUGCUAAAUGAUUAACAAUAAAAGGUAACAAGAAAUAAUAUAGUUUAAAAAAGGAUAUUAUCAAUAAUGAUUUUGAUUUAAUCAGAAAUUUGAUAGCCUUAGCGUGCUAUAAAUAGAGCCUUGGGCUACACGUUGAAAUUAUCUCAAAAUCACUUCUCUAUUCUUAUUUUUCCAUUUGUCAAAGUUGUUGACGAAUAAAGGUCAGUCUCAGUGGUGUGGAUACACGUAGAGUCUUCACACUAUUGAAUAAUUUUUAUGCUUCAAGAGUUCAUCAACAAGUAUAUUUUUUAAUAUAUCAUAUAUUUAUAAUAUAAUUUAAAUACAAAAUAGAUUCUUUUAGUCCGCAAUGUGUGUUUAUGAACAUCCUUUUUCCAACAAUUGGUAUCAGAGCCAUGGGUCUUUUGUGUUUAAAUUAUAUUUAAUAAAAUUUGAAAAAGUUUCAAUUUUUAUUUACUUACACGUAAUGUUGUCGGUUAUGAUUGCAUGAUUACAUUGUCAAAUCAAAUUAUUUUUUUUGUGCAAUUUCUAAUCUUGUUACAUGGAUGUUGUUUUGAAUCGGUGGAUCGUUUGCAAUUGGUUGUUAAUACGGUGCUUGAUUGCUGGAGGUGUUCCAUAUCAUAUACGUUGGUAUUUUUAUAUAAAGGAGAAUAAAGAUUUUUAUUUUAUUUGGAUUCCUUUUAAAAGAUUAAACCUUUCCUUCAAUUUUGAGCAAUUUGUUAUUAAUUCUUUUAUUUUAUUCUCAAAGAGAUAUGCACCUCAAGCAUUGUAUCUCGUUCAAUUAUUUGAGAGGAAAAAAAAUUAUAUGUUAUAUGCGUAAUUAUAUAAUUGUUAUAUAUCUAAAUAAUAAAUAUGUUUCUUAUAUGAUUUACCUUACAUAUUAAAUUGUUUAAUAAUGAGGAACGACCUGAAGAACAGGAGACUUAUAAUUAAUAAUUAUUUUUUUUGUGCUAAUUUUUUCUUGCAUAAGAUGCAUGUUUUUGAAAUUAAUUAUAGACUGAGCGCCUAGACAACCUAGAGAAGUAGUAAAAUUAAUUUAUUGAUAUCAAUAGGAUUGGCCUGACAACCAGAAACUUAUGUGAUAACAGUAUGUCUUCUUUAUCGCUUUGUGGUAUUCUUGAACCUAGAAAACUAGUUGAAGCCAAUUAUGAUGAUUGGUACCACAACUUGAGAAUUGUUCUCAUGCAUGAGAAGCUUAUUGACACUAUUGAUAAGCCUCCCAUGGAAGCACCUGAUCUGAGUGAUGCUAAAGCAACCAAGGUUUUUCAAAAGUACCUAGAUGAAUGCCUUACUGCUAAGUGCAUUAUCUUGGCAUCAAUGAGUUCAGAACUCCAGAGGCAACAUCAAGACAUGGACCCAUAUGAGAUUGUCGAACAUCUUAAGAAGAUGUACGGUGGUCAAAGCAGGAUGACUAGAUUUCAGUUAUCUAAGGCUCUAUUUAGAUCCUCACUUGCUGUAAAUGAAAAUGUUGGACCCCAUGUUGGACACAAACAAAUAAAAUUUUGUUAGUCAUCAUAUAACAAGUUAAUUGAAAGGAAAGUUUCAACCAAAUUAAUUUAAAAGAGAAUGGUUUUGAUGUUACCUUUUUCAUGAUUUAAGUGCCUAGAUCUUCAAAGAUGGAAGUCAUAUUUUUUCUUUUUGCUUAAUCUUCUUGAGAGAUGUUCUCAUCGCUCUCAUAGUUCUUGGUUAGAAGGUUGAUCUUCUUCUCUGAACCAUCGGAUGAGUCAUUGUCAUCCCAUGCAAUGUAAGCCUUCUUGGUCCUUCUUUCUUCAUACCUUUUCUUAUCGCUCUUCUUAGGCCAUUCUUCAUUUAAGGGACAAUUUGCUUUGAUGUGACCAAGUUGGUUGCAUUUGUAGCAUCUAAGAAUUUGAGAGUCUUCUUGAGAUCUUUUUCCAUUGUUGAAGUUUUGACGCCUCUCGAUUCUUCUCUUCUUGACAAAUUUUUGAAACUUCUUCACAAAGAGUAAGAAGUCUUCUUCAUCUUCUGAUUCUUCAUCUUCAUUUUCCUCUUGCAUUGAUGAGGAGGCUUUAAGUGCUAUGUUUCUUUUCUUUUUGUCGGCUUCUUCAUUCUGAUUAAGUCGUUGAAGUUCCAUUUCAUGUUCCUGCAAUUUUCCAAACAAAGUGGCAAGAGACAUAGAAGAAAGAUCUUUACUUUCAAAAAUGGCAGUUACCUUGGGCUGUCAUUCCCUACUUAAGCAUCUCAAAACUUUAUUAAUUAAAUCUUCAUUAGGAAAGGUUUUUCCUAAGGAGGCAAGAUGAUUGACUAUAUGUGUGAAUCUUUUCUGCAUACUUUGGAUGUUCUCAUUGGGGUUCAUCCUAAAUAAUUCAUAUUCAUGUGUAAGGGUAUUGACUCUAGAUCUUUUCACAUCAAUGGUGCCUUCAUGAGUAAGUUGUAGUGUAUCCCACAUCUCCUUGGCAUUUGAACAGUUUGACACUCUAAAAUAUCCAUCUAUUCCUAGGGUAGAAGUGAUAAUGUUUUUGGCUUUAAGGUUAUAUUGGAUUCUUCUUCUAUCCUCAUCAGUCCACUUAUCUCUAGGUUUUUGUGUUGUGGUACUAGUGCUUACAUCUACUACGGUGGGUAUGAAAGGUCAUAUUUCUAUUGCUUCCCAAAUGUUUAAAUCUAUGGCUUCAAUAAAGAUUUGCAUUCGGGUUUUCCAAUAGUGGUAACCCUCACCAUUAAAGAUAGGUGGCCUAUGGAUGGAGUUUCCUUCCGAAAAUAGAAAAUUUGAGGAGGCCAUGAAUCUUGAAGUUGUGACACUUUCUAAAAGAUACCUACUCUGAUACCACUUGUUGGAUCAAGUGGUCUCGGAAUAAUUAAGAAGGGGGGUUGAAUUAAUUAUUAAUGUACCUUGACUAAUUAAAACUUAUCCUUCUUUAUGUUACUAGAUUCAAUUAGGCUUUACUACUAAGUUAUGUAACUUAAACAAAAGUAAAGCGUAAAAGUAAAGUACACAGUGGAAAUUAAAAAGUGUAGGGAAGAAGAAGACAAACACAAGAAUUUUAUACUGAUUCGGCAACAACCCGUGCAUACAUCCAGUCCCCAAGCACCGGUUCUUGAGAUUUCUUUCAACCUUGUAAAAUCCUUUACAAGCAAAGAUCCACAAGGGAUGUACCCUCCCUUGUUCUCUUUGAACAACCAAGUGGAUGUACCCUCCACUUGAACUGAUCCACAAGAGAUGUACCCUCUCUUGUUCUCAGUUACAACAACCCAAGUAGAUGUACUCUCUACUUGUACCACAAAGGAUGUACCCUCCAAUGUGUUAAGACAAAAAAUUCUCAGGCGGUUAGUCCUUUGAAUCUUUGUAAGGGGAAACAAAAGAUAUCUCAGGCGGUUAGUCCUUUGAAAUCUUUUGUUUAAGGAAAAGGGAAGAAUCAAAAGAAUUCUCAAGCGGGGUCCUUUGAAUUCUCUUGGAAAGGGAGAAGAGAGACAUAAAAGAAUUCAGGUGGUUAGUCCUUCGUUCUUUUGGAAAAGGAAGAAGAGAGACACACAAAAAAUUCAGGAGAUUAGUCCUUGUUGAAUUAUUUUUGGCAAAGGGAGAAGAGAAUGAAAAGAUAUAGCACACUUUUGUUUUCUGCAGAAUUUUCACUCGCAAAAGAACAAUUUUUAAAAAAGAAACUUAGAAAGCUUUUUGGCAAAGGAAGAAGAAGAAAAAAAGAUGAGUAGGAAAGAAUUGUAAAGGUAGUAAAGGUUUCUCAAAAGUUUGUUCGAGAAGAUGUUUAAAAAAGAUUAUUGAAUGCAAGUCAAGGUCUUGCUUUUAUAGACUCUUCAUGUCUGGUCAAGAAAACCAUUGGAAGAGUUAUAACCUUGAGAAAAUCAUGUCAAGAGUUACAUCUCUUGACCUUUUAUUCAAAACUUGUCAUUGGUAAUCGAUUACCAUAAUCAUGUAAUCGAUUACACAAUGCAUUUUAUGAAAAGAUGUGACUCUUCACAAUUGAAUUUGAAUUUCAACGUUCAGACACACUGGUAAUCGAUUACCAAUAUAUUGUAAUUGAUUACACCAUUUAAAAAUCAUUUGGAACGUUGCAAAUUCAGUUAAAAGCUUUUUGAAAUCAAAUUUUAUCACUGGUAAUCGAUUACAAGAAACUGGUAAUCGAUUACCAGAGAGUAAAUACUCUGAUAACUUAGAAAAAUUUGAGAAAAAUCUUUUGUAAAACAAAAUUGUGCUAUGUUUGGUUUUUAAAAAAUCCUUUUCAAUACUUCCCUUGUGAAGUCUUCUUGAUUUCUUCUCUUGAAUCUUGAAUUCAUCUUCUCUUGAAUCUUGAAAUUAAUCUUGAUCUUGAACUUGUUGACUCAAUCUUGAAAUCAUUAUUUUGGGCUUUUUGUCAUCAUCAAAACUACUUGAUUCAUACUUGAAUCAUCAUCAUGAAGCUUGCUUCUACAUCGGAGGUACGCUAUAAAAUUUGUGUUUGCGUAACAUACAGAUUAUGUAAUCUGUAAGUUCCAAUAUAACUUACAGAUUACAUAAUUUGUAAAAGUAUGAAUACAAGUUUUGAUGAUGCCAAAGUAUAAUCAAACAAGAUUGCUUCAAGAAACAUUCAAGGUUAAGAAAACGGAGAUUGCUUAAAGAUUAAUUCAAGGUCAAGCAAACAAGAUUAAAAAAAUCUCAUUGGUUGAUCAGAUUUUGCGUCAAACAAAUUGUUUCCAAGAUAUCACAGGCACUGGUAAUCGAUUACCAGACAUUGUAAUUGAUUACCAGAGACAGAUUGCGAAUGGGCUUUUCAAAAAGGGUUUUGAAAUUUGAAUUUUGAAUCUUGUAAUCGAUUACCGGACAGUGUAAUCGAUUACCAGAAGACAAGAUUUCAAAUGAGCUUUUCAAAAGGGUUUUGAAAUUUGAAUUUUAAAUCUUGUAAUAGAUUACCAAAUGUUUGUAAUCGAUUACCAGUAAUGACACUUUAGAAAAUGCUUUGAAAAGUCAUGACCCUUCAAAAUAUAACUGUGUAAUCGAUUACCAGAAACCUGUAAUUGAUUACCAGUGAGAAAACUUCAGAAAAGCAUUUUGAAAAGACACAUCUCUUCAAAGCAUUUUGAAAAGGCACGAUGAGCCUAUAUAUAUGUGUGUCUGACUUCAAAAAGAAAGAAAGAGAUGUUCUAAGAAAACUUAAUUGUCAAAUGCUCUCUCAACAACUAUUGGGCAAACACUUGCAAAUCCAUUGAGAAUUCUUCAAGGAUCUUCAAUUUGUAUCAUCUACUCUAAAGGAGAGAAAUCUUUCUAUUCAUCUCAUUAACUUAGUUGUAAUCAAGAGACUGGUUGUCUCUUGGAUUGUGAAGAUAUUGAACACAAGGGUGAGGGAUCCCAAGGUGUGCUCAAAGUCUGUAAAGGAUUUGCAGAGAUAGUGAAAAAUCUCAAGUGGGUUGCUUGAGGACUGGACAUAGGCACAGGAAGUGGCCGAACCAGUAUAAAUUGAGUUUGCAUUUCUCUCUCCCCUUAUCUCAGUUAUUUUACUGCAGUUUACUUUGUCUUGUGCAUUUAAAAGAACAUUAUUAAAUUAAUUGUUUCUUCUUCUUCUGCAUUCCGAGCCUAUCAAAUAUCAUCUAAAAGGGGGUUAAAAUUUGUUAGUGGAAAAUUUUAGAAGACUUAAUUCACCCCCCCCCCCCCCCUUUUAAGUUAUUGAGGCCACUUGUCCAACAUAAUCCGUAUAAAACAUACAGAUUAUCUAAUUUGCAUAAAUCAUACGAAUAUGGUUUAUACGAAUUUUUAAUUAUUAUAUUAAAAUAAAAAGAAAUAUUAAAUUUUUAUUUUUUUUUAAAUUCUAAAUAUGUUAUUGUGAUCGUUAAAAAUAUUAAUUUAAUGUGUAAAGAAAAAUUAUUUGUUUAUAUGUUUAUUUGAAAUAUAAUUUGUAUUAUUGUUUUAAAUUUUUUUUAAAGAAGUAUAGAUUGAUAAUUAAUUUGUAAUUAAUUUUUUUUUAUAUUUUGAAAAUGGUAUGCUUUGUAAGAUAAUUUAUAGUUGUAAUUUAUGGAUAUUUAUUUGAGUUUUUGUGGUCUAAAAUUGAUUGUUUUGUGUUGUAAUAAUUUGAUGAAUUAGAAUUAAGUUGAAUAAAAUAAUUUAUUUGACUACAUAUGUCGCGGUUAUAAUUUUUUAUGUAUUAUAUGGUUAUGAAUUGUAAGUAUAAAAAAUUGAUGUUAUUGGUUUUUAAUAUAUAUAGGGUUAUCAAUUUUAAUGUUUAUAAAAUGGUAUGUAGUAAAAAAUUACGUAGGGUUUUAUGUGAUAGUAUAUGUAUGGUGCGGUUAGGAGUUGUUUGUUUGUGAUAUUGCAAAUUUUAAAUGUCUUGUUAAGAUGGACGAAAAUCAAUGGAUGUAUGACAGUAUAAUGUCUAAAGAACACUACUAGAAAAAAAGCAUUUAACAUCGGUUUUAAAUCGAUGUUGAAACUACCGACGUUAAAAGUAUUAAUGUUAACAUCAGUUAUGAAAACCGAUGUUAAAAUACACUAUACAACAUCGGUUUUUCUUAAAAACCGAUGUUGUAUCAUAAGAAAUAAACAAAAAAAAAUGUAAAAUAUGCAAAAACCAACAUCGGCUUAAUUAAAAAUCGAUGUUUUAGUGCACUCACAACAUCGGUUUUAGAAAAAAAACUGACGUUAAAUUGUGUAUUCUGAAACAUUUUCUACAUCAGUUAUGAAAAACCCGAUGUUGAAAAUCAUACACAACAUCAGUUUUUUCAAAAAAUCGAUGUUGAAUGUGUUUACGACAUCGUUUAUGGCAAAAACUGAUGUUGAAUAAAAUUAAUAUAUUUUCUACAUCGGUUAUUAAUGUGAUCCUUACUAGGAGUGGAUUGCUUGAUACAUGUUACAGAGUUUUGGAUGACGCUAUUUCUAGAGAGGAAAGAUAAGUUAGAGUAGACGCCAUAAGGAUUACCUUGAUAAGUCCGAGAUUGGUUCAACAAGGAACCCGAAGAGAAGUUCUCACAAAAUUUUAUCAAAUGCCAAAAGAGCUUCUAUUGAAAAUGAAAUUCAUACAUAGUGUAUCUGAACGAAAAAAUAGAAAUAGACAUGGGCCUUCAAAUAAGUUUGGACCAAAAUAACAACAAAAAAAUUAUAAAUAUAAAAAAACAACAUAUUUGGCAUGGGCCUUCAAAUAAGUAUGGACCUUCAGGAAUAAUUAAUAUUCUUAGUAGUGCCUCUACCCCUAGGCUUUUAUCCUUCUUCACUUGGGCCUUGUUAAAUAUGUUUGCUACCAUUUGUUGGAGGGUAUCCUCUGACUGUUUGGUCCUACUCUGAGUCAUAGGUCCAUGUAUUUGGGUAGUUUUAGGAUUCUAAUCAUUCCCUCCUUCUUGGAAAGCAUUUGCCCUCAAAUCUUCAUAAUCAUCACCUACCACAAAGGAAGUCAAGUCAGCAACAUUAAAUGAAGAACUUACUCCAUACUCACCAAAAAUAUCGAUCUUCUAAGCAUUGUCAUUGAUCCUCUCUAGUACUUGGAAAGGUCCGACUCCUCUAGGUUGAAGUUUGGACUUCCUUUGUUUAGGGAACCUCUCCUUCCUUAUGUGUACCCAAACCCAAUCAUUUGGUUCAAGUACCAUUUCCUUCCUGUUCUUGUUGGUUUGCUUGGCAUAGCUUUCAUUCUUCUUUGCAAUUUGUGCCUUCACUUGUUCAUGCAAUUUUUUCACAUACUUAACUUUAGCCUAUGCAUCCUUAUGUUGAGUCUCUUGGGGAUUGCUUCUGUAAGCUGGCCUGUUAGGCAAUGAAGCUCCUAGAAGGAGGUCAAUUUGAUGUUCUAUGCCUUUUGAAGGUGGCAGUCCAUAAGGAAUCUCCUUGGGAAAGACAUCAUUAAAUUCCUACAAUAAGAGUUCAACAUUAGGAGAAGCAGAAAUAGUUUACUCAUUAGAAUUAUCAACCGAAACUUUACUGUCUUUGCAAUACAAUAGAUGGAGCGGCUCACGAGCAAGUAACACUUUCCUCACUUUGCUCGCCUUUGAUUAAAAAUUAAAUUUUCUCUCAUGUGUAUCACUCUUUCUCUCAUGUGUAUCACUCUUUUCCUCACGUGUAUCACUCUUCUUUUUCCUAUUCCUCUUUGCUGCCUCACUCUUUUCUUUCUUUUGUUCUCUCUUUUCUCUCAUUCUGAUUUGGUCAUCACAUACUUCUCUAAGGGAUAAAGGUUUAAGAAUAAUCUUCUGGUCAUGGUGCUGGAAAGAAAUCUUGUUGGUGAAGCCAUCAUGCACUGCUUUGGUGUCUACUACCAUGGUCUUCCCAACAAUAUAUAAGUUGCCUCAAUUGGAACCACAUCACACAACACCCUAUCAUUGUAUCUUCCAAUGGUGAGACACACCUCAACCUACUGAGUCACUUUUACCUUUUCGUCUUCACUAAGCCACUGAAGUCUGUAUGGCCUAAGAUGGGGCUUAGUAUCCAAAUUCAGUUUGGACACUAACCUAGAACUUGUAACAUUGGUACAACUUCCUUCAUCAACAAUUAAAGAGAAAAGCUUACCAUUAAUUGUACAUCUGAUGUGGAAAUUUUUUUCUCUUUGGUUGUCAUCCAGUGGCUGCAUCUGACUUCCCAAGAGCCUUCUCACCAUUAGCAUAUCACCCUGCAUAGCUUCCUCCUCAAGCUCUUCUUCCACUUCUUCUUCUUCAUUGAUUUCAGAUUCACUGGUGAUUUCUCCAUUUGCCUUCAUGAUCAUGGUCCUCCUGGUUGGACAGUCAGAAGCAAUAUGUCCUCUGCCUAAGCAUAUGAAGCCUUUUAUGUUUCUGGUACCAGUGUUGGAUGAUGAGGCAGAAUUAUGCUUGGUUUCAGCACUGGACACUGCUGACUUUCCAUGUGGACUAGACGAGUUUCCUCCCUCCUUCUUGGAUCUGUUGGUCUAGUUCUGGUUGAACUUGUUGGAUGAGUUCCUUCUUGCUGCAAUUCUCCUCUUCAACUGUUGUUCAACCUAGACUACCUUAUGCAGCAAGUCAUCCAAUUCCAUAUACUCCUGUAAUUCAACAACAUCUCUAAUGUCAGGAUUUAGGAAACUCAUAAAAUGAACCAUUGUGUCCUCAAUUUCCUCUUCAAUGUUGGCCCUCGUUAGUGCCAUCUCCAUCUCUUUGUAGUACUCCUCCACAGUCAAAGUUCCCUGGGAUAGCCUCUGGAGUUUUUGUCGCAUGGUCCUGUUGUAGCUAGUUGGAACAUACCUCUUUCGCAUAACCCUUCUCAUUUCAGUCCAUGUAUCUAUCUCCCGCCCUUCCUCUCUCAUCAUCUCUCGUUGAUUUUUAUUCCAUCAAACAAGGGCAUAGUCUGAGAAUUCAACUGCUGCUAACUUCACUUUCUGCUCUUUAGUAUAAUCAUUGCAGGAGAAUUCAUGCUCAAUUUUCAUCUCCCAGUCAAGGUAGGCAUCUGGGUCACUCCUGCCUUUGAAAGGAGGUACAUUGAGUUUUACUCCCUCAAUUUUGUUCUGCCCCUCCAUUCUAUUUUUCCUGGGUCCAUCAUUUCCCCCUCUAUUCCCACCAAAAUGUCUUCCAGCAUUCUGAUUCAGUUGGUUCUUCAAUCCUUCAAUUCGUCCAUAGAGCUCUUCAUUGUUACGGUUUAGCAAACGUUGGAUUUGUGUAGUCAUCACGUCCAGUAACAAACGCUGAGAUCCAUCCAGUUGAUGAUAUUCACCACCACCAUCACCAACUCCGGCCAUAAUUAAGGAACAAAAAAAUCUACAGUAUUUUAAACAAAGGUUUUAGGACCUCACCACACUCUACUCACGUGUUUCUCUCUUUGAUGGAAGCACACUCAUGUUUAAUGCUCUCAAUAUAGGUUUUUGUGUGAUGUUUUCACUCUUGCCUUUUACCACUCACUCCCUCUUAAGUUCCUGGAUGAAUCAAAUUGGAUGCACAAGGUAAUAGAAUAGGAAAUAAGAAUGCAACAAGACGCAAAUAAGAAUGCAACAAGACGCAAACAAAAACGCAAAUAACAGAACAUGACACGAACCUGAGACAAAUUACAAAGAGAAAAAAAAAUCGGAUAGGAUAGAACCUGUAACAAGAGCUGAAGCUCUGAUACCAGAUGAUGUGAUCCUUACUAGGAGUGGAUCGCUUGAUACAGAUUACAUUAUUUUGGAUGACACCACUUCCAGAGAGGAAAGAUAAGUCAGGAUAGACGCUACAAGAAUUACCUUGAUAAAUCCGAAAUUGAUUCAGCGAGGAACCCGGAGAGAAGUUCUCACAAAAUUUUAUCAAAUGCCAAAAGUGCUUUUAUUGAAAAUGAAAUCCAUACAUAUAGUGUAUCUGAACGAAAAAAUAGAAAUAGACAUGGGCCUUCAAAUCAGUUUGGCCCAAAAUUACAACAAAAAAAUUAUAAAUAUAAAAAAAGAACAUAUUUGGCAUAAGCCUUCAAAUUAGUCUGGGCCUUCAGCAAUAAUUAUUCUUAGUAGUGUCUCUGUCUCUGGGCCUUCAUCCUUCUUCACUUGGGCCUUGUUAAGUACGUCUACUAUCAUUUGUUAGAGGGUAUCCAUUGACUGUUUGGUCCUACUCUUGGUCAUAGGUCCCUAUAUUUAGGCAGUUUUAGGAUUCUCAUCAGUUAUGGCAAAAACUGAUGUAGAAAGUGCACUUUCUACAUUGGUUUUGACCAAAACUAAUGUUGUAAAGGUAUUUUCUACAUUUGUUUUAGACCAACCGAUGUUGUUUUUUGCAAUUUUUUAAAAUAUUUAUUUGUUUUUAUAAUGAACCAACCAAAAGUAAUUUACAAAAAAAAUAUUAAUUUUAUUCUAAUAUAAAUCAUAUACCCAACUAAAUAAAUGUAAACAUAGAAUUUAAACUCGAUCAACUUCUUAUGACUAAUUAUCUACGAAAUCAGAUCCUAUAACAAACAAUAAAUUGAUAAAUUUCAAAACUAACCUUAUAUGCUUUAUUUUCUUCCUCGAGCUCGCCUUUAUUAUAUUAUACUAAAUAAUUGAUACAAAUGAUAAAGUUUAUUUAUUAUAUUAUACUAAAUAAUUUUAUUAGUGUAAAAAAUUUAUACCUAUGCUAGAUGAAUUGUAGACUUAAAAUUUGUGAAAUGAAUUUUAGUGAAACUAAAGAAUGGCUGAGAAAUAAAAUUAUUUCUUAACCUUUCUUCUGUAAUUUAUGACUAGAAAGUAGCAUGAUAUUUCAAUAACUAUGUAUUCAUAACAAGGAAAAUAAUGCAAUUCAAAAACCAAGCUAAUCAUCAACACAAGUGAGCAAAAGUAUUGUGACUUAUUAGCUAAAAGUAUCAUAAGAACUAAUUGAAAAGUUUUAGAGAAAAUUUGAAAUGAAAGUAUAGCACAUGUGAAUUUUAUAUGGAAUUUACCAAAAAGAAGUGUUGUAGACUUUUUGAGUUAUGAUAGUAUAGAUACUAUUUAUGUUCAUGAUUCACGUGAUACACGAACAAAGAUUGAGAAGUCAAAGAUUUUAUCUUUGUAUUUAUUCUCUUUUUCCCGCAUUAAAAUAAUUUUCUCAACAAUGAUUCAUCUACUUUUUCCCAAUCAUGCAUAUGCAAAAUGGAAGCAAAAGGUCCAACAAAUGAUUAUACCUAAUGCUAAAGUCAAUGCUAAAUAUCCCAUGUAUGACAAUUUUCAAUAAAUAUUUGUACCUUAAAGGUCUACUUUUGAAUAAGUUAUAUAUAUAUAUAUAUAUAUGUGUGUGUGUGUGUGUGUGUGUGUGUGUGUGUGUGUGUGUGUGUGUGUGUGUGUGUGUGUGUGUGUGUGUGUGUGUGUGUGUGUGUGUGUGUGUGUGUUAGGAACUGUAGUGUUUAUAUUAAUAUACUAAUAUUAAUGUAUCAUAUAAAGAUAAUCAUUUGUGCUAAUGUAGCAGCAAGGAAUAAAUGGAGAAAGGGGAAGAUACACCCAUUCUCAGAUAUUUUUUUUAAUAUGUACAGAACUGGCUUUUUCAUGUUUUCCUUCUUUUUUUAUCAAAUGGAAAGAUUGUGUUAAAUUAUUUUUUGCUAGUUAUUUUCUUCCUUCCUUCUAGUGUGAAGAGAAAUGUCCCAAAAUCCAAAGCUAUCCAAUUUGAGUCAAUGACAACAAGAUUAAACAGUAUAAGUUCUUUUUACAGUGGUCAGAUAAUUAACAAAAACCCAUAAUACCAUUAAGGAAACCACAAACUUGAAGAGAAUAUACUUACAAUAAAAAUAAAAACUCUUGUACAAUUUCCCUGGUAAGUGAUUGAGCCAGCCACAAAAUAAAGGGGAUAGCGGCAAACCAAGUUAAAAUGAAACUAAAAGGCUUUGGAAUCUGUAUUGAACUAUUCACGACAUUACCUACUUACACAUACAUAACAUGGUCGCACGCUGUCACAAGGGCUACAGAUGCUGAGAUAGAGUCGUGAACACGAACCUUAGAUGGAGAAGAAGAGAGCGCAAGGAAAAUAGGGCUCGGGUUCAAAUAUUUUUAAAUAUAGAUUCAACAUCGGUUUUCAAUACAAAACCGAUGUUAACCAACCGAUGUUAACUCAUCAAAUGUUAACAUCGAUUUUAAAGAAAAUUGAUGUUAACGAACUUACGUUAACAUCAGUUUUUAGAAAAUCAAUAUUAACGAACUUGCAUACGAGCUUACGUUAACAUUGGUUUUCUUCAAAACCGAUGUCAACUAAUGCACAUUAUUUACAAUUAUGUCACCGCAUUUAUGUUAACAUCGAUUUUACCAAAAACCGAUGUUAACCUGACGAUGUUAAAUCUACAUUUUCUAGUAGUGGAAGUUGAUAUGAAUAAUGAAAAUGAAGAUGAAGUCGGUGUGAAUGAAGAAGAACAUGUUGAUUAUUCUGAUGCAUUUAAUACUUCUCAGAUAAUAGUGUGAUUUAUUGUUAUUAAAUUAAUAAAAUGAAUGUCCCUUUGAAGACAACUUAUGUGGCUUGCAUUGUUGGUGUUUGCUACCCAAGAUGAUGUUUUGGAGUGGGCUCGAUCAGUCGCUUAUGAAAUUGAAUUUUUCGCAGCAAUUAUGAGGUCAGACACAAAUACUGGUAUGAGAGGAAGGACUUCAUUUGUGUUAAUUGAUUGUGAAAAGAGUGGUUAGUACAGGUCUAGGAAGAAAGAUUUUGUUAGAAGAGAUACUGACAAUAGGAAAUGUGGGUGUCCCUUUAAGCUUCAUGGGAAACCAGUGGUUAGAGGCCAAAGUUGGAUGGUGAAGUUAAUGUGUGGGAGUCACAAUCAUAAAUUGGUGAAGUCAUUAGUUGAACAUCAAUGACUACAACAUGAUCAGCAUAGGCAGUUAGCAUUGAUGUGUCACACGGCUCGCUUGGAAAAUCUUGGGCAUCAUCAAGAGCUUCUUCAGCAUGUUGGAAUAGCUCUUUAGCUGCAUCAUCCACUUAAGGAGCAUCCUCUGCAAUAGCGGUAGCUUCCAGUUGCCUACGAGCGGAUGUUGUGAGCUUUCGCCGCCGGGAGCAUCAUCUGAAUCACGAUUAUCUUCUCUCCCUAGGGCUCUUCCUAUAACUUUGCUUAGGGCAUGACCUAAACCUCUAAUUCUAACCAUAAUCUACAAAUUUGCACAUACAUACAAAUUUAUGUUGAAAUUCAAACAAUACUUAAAUCAAUUAUAAUACAAUCAUUCGUAAAUAAAACAAUUAUAUAUAUAUAUAUAUAUAUAUAUAUAUUCAAAUUUUCUUUGGAAUUAUUUUUAUGUAGUGAAUUAACAUCUUUAUUACAAAGCAACUUAAAAAACACUAAUUAAUUACUUACAUAAAAGAAAAAUAUAUAAUAAUUAUAAAUAUUUAUAAUUAAAAAUAAAACAUAAGCUUUUUAAAAAAACACAAAUGAAAACGGUAUUAAAACAACAAACAAUACGUAUUUAAAAAAAUUAAAAUUAAUAUAUUUACAAUUAAAGAAAAUUACUAUUUAACUAGAUAAUUCAUAGUAAUUUUUUAUUAUAAAAUAAACAAUAACUAUUUACAAACAAAAAAUAAAAUAAUAUAUUUAUAUUUCAUAAAAAAAAUAUUUAAAAUUAACAAAAUGAAUAUAUUUAGAAUUAAAAGAAAUAACUAUUUAAAAACAUAAUUGAAAAUAUUUAUUUUUGUAAUAUAUAAUAACUAUUUAAAAACAAAUAAGAAAAUAAUAUAUUUAUAUUUCAUAAAAAACUAUUUAAAAACAAAAACAAAAUGAAUAUAUUUAGAAUUAAAAGAAAUAAUUAUUUAAAAACAUAAUUUGUAAUAAACAAUUUUUUAUUUAUAUAAUAUACAAUAACUAUUUACAAACAAAUAAGAAAAUAAUAUAUUUAUAUUUCAGAAAAAAAAACCUAUUUAAAAACAAAAACAAAAUUAUACUUUUUUAUAAAAAUAAAAAUUUACUAUUAAAAAAUAAAUGUAAUUCAUCUUUUAAUAAUUUAAAAAAUAAAAUAUGGAUUAUAUAAUUCGUAUGAGUGAUAUUGAAACAUAUAAUACACACCCAUUAACGAAAGCCCAUAAAAGCUUACCUUGACGACAGAAACCACACAGCGGUGGUGGACAAUUCCUCAAAUCCAGCAAUGAAAGUAUCGAAUAGCGACAGGGCAGCACAAAUGGAGCACCAACAAAGAAAGAAGAAGUGCUUCGAGGAAGGAAGAAGAAAAACAGUAAGAAUGACAUACAAACUGUACAAGGAGAAAAUAUUUUUAAAAUUUAAGUAAAAAAACAUUUUUAUCACUUAUUUAAAUUGAUGGGUGCACCUAACUUUCCUUAAAAAUUUCAUAAUAAAACGGGUUCGAUGGCAGUAGGGGUUGAAUUUUUUAGACCAAUGAUAACCGUACCUGACAAAUACUAUUAAAAUAUUGAAAGUAAGAGAGAGAAAUAUGUUGUUAGAGUUGAUAGAUAAUUGCGUAGACAUUUGCAGAAAUUACGUGCUCUUUUGGUGUUAGUGACUCUUUUAUUCAUUUUAAUCAAAUAUAAAAUGGUGAAGCUUGGUUUGGCUCUAUCAAUUUUUUAUUAGCUCAGUUACGCAAGACCAGCGUGUGCUUUGCACUUUUGCUCAUUCCUUAUUUUCCAUUUAAAGAAUGUUUCUCUCCUACCGCUUGUCCUCGUGGUGGUAUUUGAGUUCGGUGAUGAAGGCGUCAAAAGCUACGACACGGUGGCAAAAUGGCGGUUGUCGGAGUGAAUCAAAGUUUAAAAUUGACUUGUUGGUAUCUUCUACCCAUUUAAAUCCAACCGUCGAAACCCGUAACCUACUAAUAAUCCGAAAUCUUGCUUAUCCAAAGAAGCAAUCGGUCGAAUUUGGUUAAGAAAAACAAUGAUCAGAUUUCACAUUUCACGAGUGAGCCAUUUUUAGCACGAAUCCGCCCGUACCCGCCCAAUCAACACCACUACUACUACUAAAGUGUAUAUAUAUAUAUAUAUAUUCUGAAAUAAUCAUUCCAUAAUAAAAAAUAAUUAUUUUCAAAAAAUUAUUUUAGAAUGAGAUUUUUUUUAUUAUAAAAUAAUUAUUUUGAAAGUGUAUAUAUAUUCUGAAAUAGUUUCAUUCCAUAUUCCAGAGUAAUUUUUUCAGAACUCUUCCUAUUCCAAAAACAAUUGUUCCAAAAUACAUGUAUAUUUCCGAAAUAGUUAUUUCCGAGUAAUAAUUUUCUUAUUCCAAAAUAGUCACGCGAGAAGUUUCAAACAAAAGCUUCAAAUCAACGAUUUACUUUUUAGGGACAUUUUUUGUCCAUUCAACUUCCCUUGGUGGUACAGGAUUCAAAUGUAUAACACUUAUAUGUUGAUAAAAAAAUAAAAUCCAAUUCUCACGUUUUUUUUUUAUGUAGAUAUUGUACUUAGCCGUCCCUUCUAUGGAUAACCUAUCAAAGAAACUAACAAAUAUUAGUUAGGUAACUUUUGUCUAAAAAUAUAUCAUUUUAAUAAGAAAAAAAACCUUUUAAAUAGAUUAUUUUUUAAGAAAUUAUAUUUUACAAAAUUAUUUUACAUCUCAUUCAUCAGAAUUAACAUAAUACAUACUUUUAUAAUAUAUAAAAAUAUAUAUUAUUUUAUUAUCUUAUUGUUGAUUUUGACAAUUUAAUAAAUAAUCAAAGUGAUCAAUAAAAUCAGAUAGUAUAUAUAUAUAUAUAUAUAUUUGGAUCAACAAAACAGUAAUCAACAAAAUUUUUCUUAAAAGGAAUAUUAAAUGCUGAUCCACAAAUGAUCAUAUUGCAUCAAAGAGUAAAAAAAAAAAAAACUCACCAACCUUAAAAUAUGAUGCUUCAUAACAAAUGUUGUAGCAUUAGUAUACAAGUGUAUAACUAUGAGAUCGGUGCCUUUACAAGACGGACUAAGCUAGACGACUGUAAAAGAAUGGUCUAAAGAAACUAUGAAAGAUAGCAUUUUAAAGAUCUUUGGCAUCUGGCUGGCGGUUAAUCAUGUGAGAAACCACAAACUUGAGUUCAUUUAUUGCAGCUUGAACCUGAUAAUCAUCUUGUUCCCCCUGCCCUGACCAUCUUAGAGCAUCUGCACUCAAUCCAUUGUAUUCAAAUGCAGCAACGGUAGUCUUCCGGGAAGUGGCAAGGACCUUCUCCAAGUCUAACUGGGACAAUGGUCUGGGAGCCUGAACCAUGAAAAAGUAGUCAUUGUCAGAAGCAGCCAUCAAUACAACUGUUCAUUUUCAUUUUACGGAUAACACACUGCUAUUGCCACUUCCAUCCACCGGUUACUUAAUUGCAAAUUAGAAGUAAAGAAGAAAAGAUAUUUCUUCAAAACUAGAAAUAUAAUAGUAAUAGCUGACAUCAAUUGAUAUUUGCACAAAUAAGCAAUCUCAUUGACCAGACACGCUAGUCCAUGCAUGCAAACAUGACUCCAGGCUGAGGUUCAUAGAAUAGUUUAAAAUAGAUAUACUCAACAUUCAACAUAGAUUUAUUCUUUAGUUAGAAAACUAGAUAUGAAUAUGCAUUCCAGACAUUUCAGCUCUAGAUAUCAUAGUACCCAAUGUUACAAAAAUGAAAAUGUUGAGGUAGGUAAAGGAGAAAGAAGAUAACGAUGAAUCACUCACAGAAAAACUUCUCCCUUUCUUCUCUUCGUCCAGCAGUUCUCUAAUUGGAAAAUAGGCAGCUUUCUUGCAGAGGUCAAAUAGAUCCGAACCAGUGUAACCUUCACAUAAGUAAGCUAUAUGGUCAAAGUCAAUGUUUUCUUCAACCCUCUCACCCUUCAAGAUAACCUUCAAUAUGUCAGCCCUCUCUCUUUGGUCUGGAAUACCAAUUUCAAAUGCUUGAGGAAGACGUCGAAGUAUUGCUUCAUCAAGUUCUGAAGGACGAUUAGUUGCAGCAAGGACCAUAACUUGAGCAUUCUCUACACACACAGUAAAUUAUAAGUCAUCACAAUUAAAAACUUUUGACUAAUAAGUACAGAGAAUAAUGCUAAACAGAGCUGCAUCAAUUCACGGUAUCUUGCAGCAUAUUCUAAAUAAUUAUGCCUCAGAAGAGAAGUAUAUAACACGUUUAAAACUUACGAUCAGUAGUAAAGCCAUCCCAUAAAGCCAUGAAUUCAGUUUUCAUGUUUAACAAAGCCUCAUGAUCUGUUGUACGACGCUGACCCAAAAAGCUGUCAACUUCAUCAAUGAAUAUGAUGGCAGGCUGGAGCUUAUGAGCUAGGCUAAAUAUGGCAGUCACUGCAAAAGAGCAGCAGCACAUCAAUGGUAAUACAAAUCAAAGACUUCACAUAAUAAUUCAGAUUGUGGCUGAUAAUGUCUCAAUAUGGCUCUCAGCGGUAUUAAUUAUAUGCCCAAAAUAAUACAACAACGUCCACCAAAGUUGUCAAACUCAGAUCCUAAAUAGACAACAGAGAAUCCGGAAAUAGUGAGAUCAUGACAUAAGGCUCUACUUAUACAGAAAACUAUAUUCAUGAAUGUGUGUGCGUAACCAAUAACACAGAUAAAGUAUAAUAACAAUAAAUCACAAUUUAUGAUUAUGCACAAACCUUAUAACAAAAGUAAGGAUUCCAAGUUUUAACCAACCAAAGAGAAUAACAAUACAACACUAAACCCCAGCAGGAAAUAAUGAGAACAAAAUUGAAGGGACACAAUUGAGAAGCAGCACCCACAACAAGGAAACUCAAUGUCAAAUUGUCUGAAAAUUGAUUUCCAACUUGUAUUCUAUCCCUAUAAACAGAUGCAGUACAGAAACAACAAAUAUGGGAACAUUUUCCCAUUUACAACAAAUAAAUCUGAUUUUCUCUAAAGACAACAUGGCAGAGGCUAAAGCAAUCUCUUCUCCCGUGGUUGCCAGCAGCAAACUCUCCAAGGAAGUUUCAGAUCCUUUACCAGAUGAUACUCUUUAAAGAUCCAGUGUCAGUGCCUUACAAUAUGCCAUCAUAACUCCCGUGUUAGGAUAUAAGGAGAAGGGAAAGUUAUUUAACAUAGUUAGACCAUUAAUAAGUUAGUUACUACAGUUAGGAUAUUGAUCAGUUAGUUAAGGGGUUAAUUAGUUCGAUAGAGGGGUUUAUUAGAUAUAAAUAGGGGAAGAAGGAUAGGAGAGAGGGAGAUCUUAUCAUUUGUAGAUUGAGCAUUAGCUCUUUGUGAAAGGAGAAAUCCUCUAUGAAGGGAAAACCUUCGAAGGAGAGUUUUCUCUCCUAUUUUCUGUUUUUUUCUUACUAGUCAAUAAAUCCUUUCUUUUCUUUGUCAUUUCAAUUCUUGGUUCCUAACAAUUGGUCCGAUCUGCCAGAUCCAAGUUGUACGAUGGAGAGCAAAGUGAGCACUUUGGAGAAAUUGGCCAGCGAGCAGGAAAGGUGAUUACAGACCUAAAAACAGACAUGGAUCUCAUAAAAGAAAGAUUGCUGGACAUGAGGCAAAUCAAGGAAUUACUUCUUGAAUUCAAGAAAGGAAAGACGCCUUCGGAUGGUGGGGAAAACUCGGUCAACAGAGACAAGAAGGCGGAAGAGAACAGUGACAAUAAUGGGUCUAGAGAGGACAGUGAGGAAGAGGAACCCAAUUAUCAUUCUUACAAAAUCAGCAUUUCAGAGUUAAAGCAUGGACGACUAAAAAGUUCAAAAAACAUUCUUGAGGUUAAAAGGGAGGAAAGCAUGGAGGAGGAGCAGCCCUCUAAAAUCAAGAUCAAGAAAACCAUUGAGGGAAUUAAAGAGGCCAAACAGAUGCUACAAUUGUUGAUCGAGAAAAGGGGAAUCAGUCUUGAGUUUGAAAAAGAGGACAAACAAUCCAUGUAGACAAUAUCAACUUUGCAGUUGGGUGUGUGGGUAACAAAGUCACCGCAAGACAGUGAUUCAGUAAAAGCCCUUGAGUGUUUUGCCAAUAAGAGAAUUGGCGCCCAUCGUGGGGAGGAGCUUGGUGUCGAAGACAAAGACUCAAAAACCAUUGAUGCCGAGGUAGUAGAGGAGAUCAAGAUGGAAGAGACUGAGAAUUUGCAGCAGAAAAUGCAGGAACAAGAAGGGGAUUUCUCAAUUAUCAUAAAAAAAUUUCAUUCUUGGGUAGUAAAUGUCAUAGAAGUUGAGGGUGAUAAUGGUUUCUUUAUGAAACCCACAACCAUGGAAAUUGGGAUUAUAUGGAAACUGAUUGCGCCUACACCAUCACUAGACCCUUCAGAUGCAAGCUCACAUACGAUCCUUAAUGGGUUGUCAUCAGCAGAGCUACAACUUCUCAAGGAGAGGGAUGGGUCUUCUUUGUUGACAAAGUUAAGGAAUUUAGGCAUGUCAGCUAAACUGCUAGACACCAACCCACUUGCAACAACUAGUAAAUCAUCGUCUGAGACUCUGAGAUGCUAAGGGCAAUAGAGUCACUACAGGAAAACAGGAACUACUUUGCAGCAGUUCACAAUGAGAAGAGAAAUCCAAAGCUAGAGCUACUCAUUUGGAAAAGGCCAAAGAACUUUAUACCAGAGUUCUGAUUCAGCAUUCUUCUAAUUUAUAUGCUGCCAAUGGUGCUGAGGUAUUCUUAGUGGAAAAGGGCCAUUUUUUGAUGCAUCUAAGGAUAUCUUUACAGAGGUUCAAGAAGCUGCCAGAGGUAGUGUUUUUGUCCAGAUGCCUGAUGUGAGGAUAAAUCUGGCACAUGUUUGUUUUGCUCAAGGGAAUUUUACUUUGGCCGUGAAAAUAUAUCAAAACUGCUUGCGGAAAUAACACAAACUCUCAAUACUUCUAUAUUUAGCUCAUACACAUUAUGAGGCUGAACAGUGGCUAGACUGUACACAAACUUCUAUAUUUAGCUCAUACACAUUAUGAGGCUGAACAGUGACUAGACUGUACAAAAACUCUACGGAGAGCCAUGCAUUUGACACACUCGAACUAUACUUUAAGGUUUGAUGCAGGGGUUGCAAUGCAAAAGUUUUAGCAUCAACACUACAAAAGGCAAAGAGGACUGCAGACAAGGUGAGAGCAACUGUUGCUGAGUUGCAAAAUAUUGUUCGUGUAUUUAGUCAGUUGUCUUCAGCUUCCAACUUACAUAUUCAUGGGUUUGAUGGGAAGAAAAUUGACACUCAUGUAGGAUACUGCAACCACUUACUUUUGGCUGCUAAAGUUCAUCUUCAAGCAGCUGAGUGUGAAGAGCAGCAAAUAAGACAGAGACAAGAACUUGCUUGUUAGGUUGCAUUGGCUGAGGAAGCCCAGUGAAAGGCUGAAGAGCAAAGGAAAUUUCAGAUGGAAAGGAGAAAACUUGAGGAAGUGUGUCAUUUCAGUUUUCAAAUUCCAACCUUGAGGACAAGGUUGAUUUUUAGGAUAUAAGGAGAAGGGAACAAAGACUUCCAUUUUAUGUCUAAGGCUCUUGAAGCUCACUAGUAUGUUCUGAAGUGCAUUCUUUGCUACCUCAAGGAAACUCUUUCUUGGUGUCUUCACCUUCUGCUAGCAUUUCCUCACUCUCCUAUGUCUCAUGACACUUACUGUGAUGCUGACAGGGCCUCCAAUGUUGGUGGUGGUCGCUCCACCUCUGGUGCAUGUGUCUAUCUUGGCACCCAAUUUAAUUUCCUGGUGGUAAAAAAAGUAGCUAGAUGUCACCUACUCCAGUGCUGAGGCUGAAAACAAGAGCUUGGCUGAUGCCACUGCUGAAAUUAUUUGAGUCCAAACUCUAUUAACUGAGCCAGGUAUCAAUCAUUUUGUUCCUUGCCUUUUCGUUGAUAAUAUAAAUAAAUGAGUACAGUGGUUCUUGCUCACAAUCCCAUUUUGCAUACCCACACAAAGCACAUGGAGCUUGAUCUGUUUUUUGUUUGUGAGAAGGUCUUAAGCAACUGACUUCAUGUUCUUCAUGUGCCAGCCACUGAGCAAUGUGCUAACAUCCUCACCAGGGCUCUCUCUCGGUCUCUCCCACUCACUUCACUGCUUUUAGAUUCAAGCUGAGUAGGUGAUCCCUUAGCAUCACACACCUCUUGAGCUUGCAUGGGUAUUAGAGUAUCACGUAAGAAAGCUUAGUUUCUAACUGUUGUUAGUUAGCUUUAGAUCACCAUCGUGUUGGGCCUAAUAGUUAGGUCAUUGGGGCCUUGUAAUCAAGGCAGCUAUAAAUAUCAGAACCCUCUAGUUUGUAACUAAAACUUCUUCAGUAUUUUUUUCCCUAUAAUACCCCCUUAGCUAGAUGAUACUUAAGAUGAGUGCUUCAUUAUGGUCUUCUAACUUUGGCUACAGUCUCCAGUUUUGUUUCUCCUUCCAAAAGCGAAUAAUAGCAGGAAGUGCUCUUCCAUAGAGCACCUGAAAUGGUGUAGUAGCAGUCAAUGCAUGAAAGGUUGUGCGGUACCAUAAUUCAGCCCAUGUAGCCAAAUAGACCAAGUCCUCAGUUGUUCAAAUGCAAAACAACAUUGAUAAGUUUCCAAUCAGUGGUUUACAACUUCAAUUUGGCUAUAAGUUUGGCGAUGAUAUGAAAAAGACAUCUUUAAAACUGUUUCCCAUAGUCGAAAUAAUUUCUUCUUCUUAAUGUAAGGAGGAUAAUUAGGCAUUGUCUUUGUGUAAAUACUUUUUUAGUAAUUAGGGAUAUUAGUAACUCCUUUUACUUAUAACUAUAUAUGAUAUCACCCAGUUCAUAAUUCGGAUACACAGUUUCUUCCUAUGUUCUUCAUCUUCUCUUUCUAAAGAUAGUAUCACAGCCUAUGCCUUUUAUGAUGCUGACUGGGGUUCCGAUGAUGAUCGCAUAUCCACAUCUAGAAUUAGUGUGUUGUUUCUUGCGUCAAAUCUGAUGUCCUGGUGGUCUAAGAAGCAGACUCUCUUUGCAAAGUCCAGUGUUGAGGUUGAGUACAGAAGCCUCGCCUCCACUGCAUCAGAGGUCCAAUCCUUGCUCAAAGAAUUACAGGUUGCCAGCUCAACAACUACCAUUUACUGUGACAACUGGCUUUGAAACACAAUCCUGUGUUGCAUUUUCAUACAAAGAACAUGGAGUUGGACGUCUUUGUCACGGGGAAAGUCGUAGCUCAGUCUCUCAUUGUUCUUCAUGUUCCAGGUCAGUACCAAAUUGCAGAUGUCCUUACCAAACCACUCUUGAAGCUCAGGUUCACUACUCUUAGAGACAAGCUCAAAGUUCUCAGUGUUCAACAAUCACCCUGAGCUAGUAGGGGGAAUUUGAGUAUAUUAAUGUUAACUCCAUUCUUUACACUGAGUCAGUUACAGCUAUUACUAGGGCUGUUCAAUUCAAACUGAACAGUGUUGAACUGUUCUGAACUGCAAAUGCAGUUCCCCUGAACCGAGCUGAACUGUCAAGCAGUUCAGGCAAACUGAACCCAACUGUUUUAAAGGUGCAUUGAACUCGAUUGAACCAGUUCGAACUGAACUGUUAUGAACUGUUCUGAACUGCUCCAAACUAUUCUGACGUGCACCAAACUAUUUUUAAGGGGCCUUUUUUGUAGAAAUUACUUUUUUUUUUGCUUUCAAUUAAAAAAAUACCACAUUGUUUUAGUUUGGCUUCUCAUUUUUACAUUGAUUUGCGUUUGAAUAAAUAAUUAAUGAAUUUUUAUAUGAUUGUGAUUUUUCAAAUUGCUAUGAACAAAAUAUUAAAGAUAAGUUUGAGCAUUUUUUAAAUUAUAGGUUUUUAAAUUUAUGAUCAACAUAUUUGAAAAUUGCUUAUUGAGGCCACACGUGACACUAUUUGCCUCUAAGUGUUGCAUCUUAUUUGGCCAACUAAUUGUCAUAUUUAGGUUGAUCUACAUGUGGUUCAUAUAUACUAAAAAGAUGAAGAAACAAAUGUGUGGCAUUAUUUCAUUCUCCUGAUUGGUGUGAUUCUUGCUUUUCUUCGCGUAAUGGGAGGGUAAGGUGGAAUAUUGUAUGUUGGAGUGGAGCAGGAGUUACUAACAUGAGUGGAGAGGGGUUUAUUUUUCCAACUCUGAUGAGUAUCAGUUUGGGAGUGCACUGAAUUGCUUUUUUUAGCAGUUCAGUUUUAUGGUUCAGUUCAAUUUUUAUUUAAACAGUUCAGGUUUUUUCAAUUAAUUUUGAUUCAGUUAACUAUAGUUCAGUGCAGUUCAGUUUGUUUUGGCCACCCCUAGCUGUUACUAUUAGAAGUUAGUUACCUUUCCGUUUCAAUUAGUUAGAAAUGAUGUUAUGACAGAUAUAUAUAGAGAGCUCCCUUGCAUACUGUAUUUUACUCAGAUAAUCAAUUAUACAGUUUUUUCACUUUUACAUUUUCUGUCUGUCACACCAUUCUAACAUAUCAGAUGUUGAAACUACUAUAAAGGACUUUAUUUUCUUCAAAGAAUUGGACACCUAAGAGAACACAUUACACAUUUGAUAAUAAUCCAAUCUAUCUACCAUAUAUUUUUCAAGCAAAGAAACUAAGCUGAAACUAUUCUAAUCAAUUCUGAACACAAUAGGAGAAGGCUGAUGAGAAUCAUGAAACUGGCCUAAUACAGGCUAAAGGCCCAAGUGGAGAAGGACGAAGGCCCAAGUGGAGAAGGACAAAGCCCCCGAGUGGAGAAGGAUGAAGGCCCAAGUGGAGAAGGAUGAAGGCCCAGAGGCAGAGACACUAUUAAGACUAUUAAUUGUUGCUGAAGGCCCAAACUAAUUUGAAGGCUCAAGUUAAAUAAAUUUUUAGUUAUAAUUUAUUUUUAUUCUAAUUUUGGCCCAAACUGUUUAGAAGGCCCAUGUCUAUUUUUAUCUUUUUGUUCAGCUACACUAUAAGUAUUGGUUUUUGUUUUGAAUAAAAAAAAACUUUUGGCAUUUUGAUAAAAUUUGAUGAGAGUUUCUCUCUGGGUUCCUUGUUGAACCAAUCUCAGACUUAUCAAGGUAAUCCUUGUGGCGUCUGUCCAGACUUAUCUUCCUUCACCGGAAGUGGCGUCUACCCUGACUUAUCUUCCUUAACCGGAAGUGGCGUCUACCCAGACUUAUCUUCCUUCACUGGAAGUGGCGUCUACCAUGACUUAUCUUCCUUCACUGGAAGUGGCGUCAUCCAAACCUUCGUAGCCUGUAUCAAACGAUCCGCUCCUACUCAGGUUCGCAUCAUCUGGUAUCAGAGCUUCGGCUCUUGAUACAGGUUCUAUCUUAUCCUAUUAUUUUUCUUUGUAAUUUGUCCUGGUUCGUGUUUUGUCCUUGUUCUGUUAUUUGUUUUUCUUGUUUGCGUCUUGUUGCGUUCUUGUUUGUGUCUUUGUUUCGUUCUUGUUCUUGUCACGUUUGUGUUCUUGUUGUUGUUCUUGUUUCUAGUGUCUUUCAGACUUUGUGUCAUAAAAAAAAAUUGUUUGGGUUCUGUUUCAAGUAAAAAAAAAAAAGUUGCAGAAAUUUUGAAAAAAAAAAAAGAGAAGAAAAGAAGAGAAAAAAGAGAAAGUGGGUGUUUGAUCUUUGAACACGAAAUUGAGGCAGUUAGAGGCUUUUUUUGGCAGAAAAUCGUGUACCAAAUUCCCUUAUCUGGAUUCUCCUUUGAAUUCUGAGCGUUUUGAUAUAUAGUGGGCCUCAAACGGACAACCGUAGCAAAAGUUAUGAGCAUUUGAAGUUUACUUGUCAUAUCUGUUAUCUUAUCUGUUAUCCUAUCUGUUAUCUUAUUUGUUAUCAUAUCUGUUAUCCAAAUUAAAUCUAAUUUGUUAUCCAAAUCUGAUCUAUUAUCCAAAUCAAAUCAAAUCAAAUUUUUUAUCCAAAUCAGAUUUGUUAUCCAAAUCUAAUCUGUUAUCCAAAUCAAAUCCAAUUUGCUAUCCAAAUCAAGUCCAAGUUGUUAUCCCAAAUCAAAUUUGUUACUCUGAUAAUUAUAUUGUCUUUCCUUUUAUUUUAUAUUACCUUGUGUGUCUAAUUCGAUCCAUCCAGGAACUUAAGAGGGAGUGAGUGGUAAAAGGCAAGAGUGAAAACAUCACACAAAAGCCUAUAUUGAGAGCAUCAAACACGAGUGAACUACCAUUAAAGAGAGAAACACGUGAGUAGAGUGUGGUGAGGUCCUGAAUUUUUUUUAAUUUACUGCAAAAUUCUUUGUUCCUUAAUCAUGGCAAGAGCUGGUGACAAUGGUGGUGUAUAUCAUCAACUGGACGAAUCUCAACGCUUAUUUCUGGACGCGUGGACUACACAAAUGCAACAUUUGUUGAACCGUAACAAAGAAAAGCCCUACAGACGAAUAGCCAAAUCUUCCUCGUUUACUCUUAAACCUCUAUCCCCUAGAGAAGUGUGUGAUGACCAAAUCAGAAUGAGAGAAAAGAGAGAACAAGAGAAAGAAAAUAGUGAGGCACCACAAAGGAAUAUGAAAAAGAAGAGUGAUACACCAGAGGAAAAGAGUGAUACACAUAAGAGAGAGAGAGUGAUACACAUGAGAGAAAAUUUAAUUAUUUUGCAGAGGCGAGUGAAGUGAGGAAAGUGUUACCUGCUCAUGAACCACUCAAUCUACAGUAUUGCAAAGACAGUAAAAUUUCUACUGAUAAUUCUAAUGAGUUUACUAUUUCUAUUUCUCCUAGUGUUCAACCAUUAUUGCAGGAAUUUAAAAAUGUCUUUCCUAAGGAGAUUCCUCAUGGACUACCACCUUCAAGAGGCAUAGAACAUCAAGUUGAUCUUCUCCCCGGAGCUUCAUUGCCUAACAGGCCAACUUACAAAAGCAAUCCCCAAGAGACUCAAUGUAAGGAUGCAUAUGCCAAAGUUGAGUAUGUGAAAAGAUUGUAUGACCAAGUGAAGGUGCAAAUUGCAAAGAAGAAUGAAAACUAUGCCAAGCAAGCCAACAAGAAAAGGAAGGAAGUGGUACUUGAACCCGGUGAUGAUCCUGGACAUUUGAGGACAAAUGUUUUCCAAGAAGGAGGGAAUGAUGAGAAUCAUGAAACUGGCCUAAUACAGGCUAAAGGCCCAAGUGGAGAAGGACGAAGGCCCAAGUGGAGAAGGACAAAGCCCCCGAGUGGAGAAGGAUGAAGGCCCAGAGGCAGAGACACUAUUAAGACUAUUAAUUGUUGCUGAAGGCCCAAACUAAUUUGAAGGCUCAAGUUAAAUAAAUUUUUAGUUAUAAUUUAUUUUUAUUCUAAUUUUGGCCCAAACUGUUUAGAAGGCCCAUGUCUAUUUUUAUCUUUUUGUUCAGCUACACUAUAAGUAUUGGUUUUUGUUUUGAAUAAAAAAAAACUUUUGGCAUUUUGAUAAAAUUUGGUGAGAGUUUCUCUCUGGGUUCCUUGUUGAACCAAUCUCAGACUUAUCAAGGUAAUCCUUGUGGCGUCUGUCCAGACUUAUCUUCCUUCACCGGAAGUGGCGUCUACCCUGACUUAUCUUCCUUAACCGGAAGUGGCGUCUACCCAGACUUAUCUUCCUUCACUGGAAGUGGCGUCUACCAUGACUUAUCUUCCUUCACUGGAAGUGGCGUCAUCCAAACCUUCGUAGCCUGUAUCAAACGAUCCGCUCCUACUCAGGUUCGCAUCAAAGGCCCAAAUUGUGUUUCAUCUCAUAUUAAGCAAACUUGAAAAGAAAUCAUGUCCAGCAAAGUCAAUAGUCUGAAUGACAAGGUUUUAUACAGAAGGAAAAAUAAUCAUUGGGUAUUGAAUGGAAGGUAAAAAACAUUGUGUACACACCGAGUUUCUGGGCAUCUCCAAACCACUUGCUCAUCAGGUUUGAUAUCCUGACAUUAAUGAAAACUGCUCCAGACUCCUUAGCAAUAGCUUUGGCAAGCAUGGUCUUCCCUGUGCCAGGUGGUCCAUACAAGAGGACACCCUUUUGUGGCCCAAGAAGCUUACCAUGAGAAAACAAGUCAGGUCUUUUUAAAGGCAGAAUAACAAGCUCAAACAGAGCUAGCUUAAUAGUUUCCAGUCCCCCAAUAGAGUUAAACUCCACAUCAAUGUUGUCAGGAUUGAUAACAUCGCAUGCUAUGACAUCCUGUACAAGAUAAAGGGCACAAACUUAAAAUAAUAUUAAUCGUAGUCCCUACUUUUAACAGAAAACAAGAAAAUAGCUCUUUUGAAAUAAAAUAAUGCAAUAAAUCCCCAAAGGUAUGUAAGGAAGUAAAGGAACUAGUAUUUUUUUUUCUUUAAUUUAUGUAUUUUAAUAUAAUUCUGUUUUCAAACCAAUUCCUUCUUACACACAGAAAUUGGUCAACAAUAGUAAAAGACUAGUUCCAGAAAACUUUUCAGAAAAGUAGCUCAUGAAACUAGAAAUCCAACUUGGAAUUGCAAAUGCUGAUAAUAGAAGUGAUAAGAUAAUAUCAGAACCACCAGUUAUAUUUUAAGUCAAAACUACAGCUUAGCAACAUAAGAGCACAUUAUUCCGUUCCAAUUAUUGUUAUCAAAAUUAUGUUCUGACUUGUAGAAUCAUCAGCUUUUAAAUAUGUUCGGAAGGCAUCUUCAAUGCAAAUCCAAGCUUAGAACAUGAUUUCUGAUCUCCAGGCAGUGGUUUAACAAAAAUAGAACCACCUAUCCAAUACAUUACACAUACAUUAUCAACUCUCAUGCAACAAGACCUUUCCCACCCAUGCACCUAUUAGGCAUUCAAUGGGAAAUUGUUUCACAAACCACAUAGUACAGCUACAGAAUCGUGGAACUGAGAUAAAGAUUGCAUAACUAAUCUGUAGAGAAUAUGAAAAAAAAAACUAGUAUCAGUUGUAUGAUACAUAAAAGUAACCGAUUGGCACAUCCAACAAGACUGAAGCCGGUAACAACAAAUUCAAAUAUGUCCCAAUACAGAUGACAGGAUUCUUCAUUACCCCAAUUAUAUUUAUGCCUUAAAUACCUUAGCGAAAUAAUGGCACGGGCUGCAAAUUGCCAAGCAAUGGAAUCAAAUAACACACCAAUCCCAGUGCAUAAUAAAUAAAGAAUCAAUUAAAACAGAAUUAAUUAGUUGCAUAAACGUGAAUAACCUAGCCCAUGCUUUCUCACAAACAUUCGUUGAAUUGAUUUUGCUAUCUAUUGCCCUUUGGCAAUGAUAAAGAAACUAAUUUGACAAAUAAUGUCACGUUUAGAUAAACUUCUUCUCCAUAAACACUAAGAAAAAUAAAAUGAAAUAAAUUUUUCCAUAAGGUAAAAUUAGUCCAUGCAUAAGUUAAAAAAUCAGCAUUUAGAGAAGCUAAUAUGAGAGAACUUUUACAAAAAUAGCUUAUGCAUAAGCAUAAGUAUAAGCUAAUUUUAGCUAAUGAAAUGAGAUUAUUUUUAUUUCCUCUCUUCCUAAUUACUUACUAAAUAAGCCAGUUGGCAUAAUAACUAAUUCCUAAUUACUUCUUAACUAAUUUCUAGCCGCUAUCACUUUAUAGGAAGAAGUUUAUCAAGCAGUAAUGCAUAUUCUUGUCUAUGAUACAUGUGUAAAAUGAUUAAAAAUUAAGCAAAAAAAGAGUAUAAUUAAAAAAAAUUAUAUAAUAAUUUACAGUUAAAGUAUUGAAUGAUAAGAAAGAUGGGGAUAUUAUUGGGAGGGAACUAUGAAGCACAGACUCUACCACGGACACCGGCCACGACACCCACGAUUAAUGUCUAAAAUAUAGAACAUGGCGACACUGCAUACACCUACAAAGAGACUCUAAUCAAAUAAAAUGAGUAACAUAUAACAAAAUAUUUAAAUUGAUGGUAUAUUAAUCAAUCUUUUAUGUUUUUUAGUAUAUGAACUGUGUAAACGUAUAUGCUUAAGUAUGAAACCAACAAAAAAUUAUUUUUAAAUUGAAAACCUAAUAAAAAGUGCCUAGCAAGUGUGAAACAAGUUUCCGUGUGUCUGUGUCAGAAACAUGUCCAACACAGCAACAUUUUAAACAAGGAAAGUGUCGGUGCUUCACAGGGAGGGAGAGAAAGGGUACUUUACCUCAUAAGGGUUUGUCUGAACUAGAGGACGACCGAGGCGCUUGGCAAUCUCUUUUUUGUGCUGAAAGGCCUUUUUCGAAGCCUCGCGAUUCGGGUCGAGCUGUCGGAGGCCCACGAACAAGACCAAGCAGCUCAGUGCUGCGCUUGCUGCAUACAGAACCAACUCUUGCACCAACUUCGACUCUGCUAAACGACCCAUAUCUUAUCUUAUGUUUCUUUGACUAAUACGUAUUAGUAAAGAACCGUUCACACUCGGGCCUUUUUAUUCUUUGUUCUUCUCUGAGCAACACACGAAUGGAGGAGGGAAAGCAUGCGGAUUAGAGUUAGACGAUGAAUAGAUGAUUCUCGAAUUUUAGCCGACUUGCGAGCUUCAGGAGAACCUGUCCGGAAUUUGGUUAUAUUAAUCGACAAAAAUAAAAAUAAACGAAACAGUUAGUACUUAGUAGAUUAGUUAUUAUUUAAUUACCCAUUUAUAUCUUUUUCUAAAUUUAUCAUUUUUAAUCUAUAUAGUUAAUAAGCGGAUUUUUUAAUCUUUAAAAUUUAUAUUUUAAUUUUCAGAAGGUCUUUAUUAUUAAAAUUCUUUAACUAACGGAAUUAAAAAAAAUUAACGACAGAAUCUUUCAAGAAUUAAAAUGUAAAUUUCAGGAAUUAAAAAAGUCACUUAUUAAACUUGAUAGGAGUCAUAAUUGCCCCUCAAGUUUGAACCUAUUAGGGUUCUUAUUAUCACUCUAAUAAGCCAAAUCAGUUUCUGCUUAUUAAGUCCAUAUUAGUUUUCUAUUGGCAGACUAAUGAGAUCACUAAAUUAGAUCACUUAUGUUGGGUCCAUCUAAAUAUAAAUAACUAAUAUAAAUGAUAAUAUAAUAUGUGGCCCAUAUUUUUUAAUUAGGACAUAAAAAAAUACUAACAAUCUCCCACUUGAACUUCAUAUUAACCUUAAACAUUUAUACCACAAAAUUCUUUAACCACACAACUGUAUGUUAUUUAUAGUAGAAAUUCUUUAAAUUAAUACUCGAUAAAUUAAUAAACUCUCUAAAAUAAUAAAUUUGUCCGGUCCCGACUUGGGCCAACGUAAAAAAUUGAAAAACUUGAUAAAAUAAUAAGAUAAUAAUUUUUCGUGAGAUCCCUUUAUAAUUUUCGGUCCCAAGAAAAUCAUAAAUUAAUAAUUCAUAGAAACUGAAAAAAAUAUAUUACACUCUAUUGAAAUAUGAUUCAAUAGUUGUUUGUUUUCCUUUAAAGUUCAAGUCUAUUUGAAGCUCAUCUCUAACUUUUCUUAUUGCAUCCAAUAGCUCAGGUGUUAUAUUUUUGUAUUGUAUCCUAAAGUUGUGAAGAGUGUUUGUGAAGAGUGUUCGACGCCAUAAGUGCUUCCUUUUGCGUAACAGGCUCCAAAGACACCGUAUCAUCUUCGUCGUCAUCCUCUGCAUUGUUCUCUGCGUUAUUGAUUUCCAAUGCAUAUGAACACAGUAGUUACUAAUUUACGUUGAGUCCCAAGAUUCGCUGCAACGUAAUUCUAAGAGGCAUAGACUAAUUUGUCUUUUUGUUUGGUAUGUACAAUAUAUUUACUUAAAAACUAUUUAAAUUAAUAAUUAUUAAUUUAUCGAUAAAUUAAUAACUCUCUAAAUUAAUAAAUUUCUUUGGUCCUGACAUUAUUAAUUUAUAGAGUUUUAACUGUACUUUUGGACUCCUCUUUAAACAAUCUUGUCCCUCUCAUAUAGCAACAAGGAGCCACUAUUGUUUUCAUCACAAUCUAAUAUGAUUAAGCCACAAUGAUUACCACUAUCACUCAUACUUGACAACAUAGAUCAAAUAUGGAUAAGCGACAUGAAAAUUACAAGCAAUGUGAUCUUAAUCGUGUUUAUUUUCAACUAGUCCAAACUUUAUUCUUUAUAGAGAUCAAUCCUAAUGCAACAUAAAUAUUGCACACAAAACAACCUCAGAAUAUAAUGAUAAACAUCAACUUUAUUCAGCAUUCAAACAAUACAAAUAUUUGGAAAAACAUAGGAUAUAGAACAUAAAUGUGACUUCCACUACAAUAAGAUUCUAUUAGGAACUACACCCUUAUUAGCAGUGUGCUCAUGAAAAAAUUUAGAUACCAAACCUUUAGUAAGUAGGACAACUAGUACGGAAUCAGUUCCUAUAUGUUUUAUGAAAAUCUGUCUAUUCUGAACUCUUUCCCUAACAACCAAAAAUUUGAUGUCAAUGAAUUUUAACUUGGUUGCACUCCUAUCAUUGUUGAAGUAUUGAAUUGUUGAGUUAUUAUUACAAUAAAUUCUCAAUGAUCUUUCAAUGUAAUCGACCACAUGCAAACUAUUGACAAAGUUUCACAACCAUACUCCUUGGUUGGAUGCCUCAAAACAAGCAACAAACUUCAUAGUCGUGAUUGAAGAAGUUACCUAAGUUUGUUUAGUAGACUACCAAGAGAUAACUCCUCCGGCCAACAUAUAUGUAUCCAAAUAUGGAGCAUUUUCUGUGCUGGCAUCCUACAAAAUUAGAGUCUGAGUACCUAAUGAUAUCUAGAUUAUUAUUAGACUUCUGACAAGUGAGCAGACUUUUGAUAAGUAAGCAUAUAUACCCUUUUGUUCUCUUGAAGAAUGCAUCAUGCGCUUUGUUUCCUUCUAGUGCUACAUUCCAAGAUCACUCAAGUAUCUGCCUCAAACUCCUACAACAAAUCCUAUGUCGGGACAAGUACAAACUUGAGCUUACAUUAUACUUCCCACUGUUGAUGAAUAGAGAAUCUUUUGAAGUGACCAAAAUACCACAAGAAGGGGGAUUGAAUUGGGGUUUUAAUUUUUUUUUAAUUCUUCUUUGAAACUAAAAAGGUUUCUAAUGUGAGUUCAAAAUGAAAAACUAUUAUGAGCUCAUAACUAAAAUACAUGUUUUUCUUUCAACCAAAAUUUCUUUUUCUCCCCCUUUUGUCAUAAACGAAAGGAUGGUGGGUUUGAAGAGAGAAAUGAUGACGAACAUCUUAGUCAAUCUUAAACUUGAGGUGGUGGUGGUGGAGGUUGUGCAGGUGGAUGUGUUGGUUCAAUGGAUAGUGGUGUUGGCUUAGGUGUUGGGGGUAUAGGUGAGGCGUGGGUGUAGGUGUAGCAAUAGCUUCAAGCAUAGUCAUCUAAGCAUGUUGAAGAUUUUGAAAAAGAACAACACCAAGAUUGAAAAACUGGGUAGUUAUCCAUUUUGCAUGGAAAGUCUAAACUCUGGUUAUCUGUUUUGCAUGGGUAGUUAUCUGUUUUCUUGCCUUUGUCAUUCAACAAAAGAUUCCAUGGCUUGGACAAUCAUGUCUUACACUUAAUCUCUGGUUAUAGCAGUGGGGGGGGGGGCGCAUAGUUCAAGGGGGGUAGGUCUUGAGCUUGUGGAGUAAACAACAACAACAUCAGAUUCACCCUUCUCUCUUGAUGUAGCUUCAUUAGAGGUUGUAGAUUGCUUGGAGGUAGGUUCCUUGCCUUGAGGGAUAAUCUCAUCAGCUAUGGUUUCAUUGGACGCUUCCAUAAUUUCGUCCAUGACACCAGUGUUAGUAACCCCCAUGCACAAUGAUAUUGUCCACAACUUUAGUAGAAGCUUCAUCUUGGGUAGAGAUAGCCUUGUCCUUCAUGGCAAUAACAACCAAUUGUUCUUCUUCUCAAGCCUUCUUCUCUUUUUGAGCAUCACCGAGUUGAGUCCUUCAUGGCAACGACAACUUUCUUUUUAACUCACUCUUAGGUGGUUCCACUGUGGAAGCAAUGCCUUCCAAGGUUAUUUUGAUGAUGCCAAAGAAUCAAGAGUCAAGCAAAAUCCAAAGAUUCAAGAAUCAAGUUUAAAGAAUCAAGAUUCAAGAUUCAAGAAUCAAGUUUCAAGAAUCAAGAUUCAAGAAAAAUCAAGAUCAAGAUUCAAGACUCAAGAUUCAAGAAUCAAGAGAAGACUCAAUCAAGAUAAGUACUAAAAAAGUUUUUCAAAACAUUGAGUAGCACAUGAAGUUUUCACAAAAUCUUUUAUCAAAGAGUUUUACUCUCUGGUAAUCGAUUACCAGUAGUCAGCAUUGUUUUUCAAACGGAUUUACAAAGUUGUAAUCGAUUACCAUAAACAUGUAAUCGAUUAUCAGUGUUUUUAAAACGUUAAGAUUUUCAAAAUUCAAAAUAAAGAGUCACAUCUGUUGAUGUGUAAUCGAUUACACCUUAAUGGUAAUCGAUUACCAGUGACUGUUUUCGAAAAAUACAUUUCCAAAAGUCACAAUUCUUCAAGUGACUUGUUUCUAAAGAUUCUUUCAAAAGUCACAACUUUUCUAAGUAACUAGUUUUAAAAGAAAUUGCCAAGAGUCACAAACUUUGACUUGAGUUAUCAAGAAAUUAUAAAUAUGUGACCAUGGCAUGAAUUUUAAUAACAAUCAAGAAAUCUACCUUUCAAUCUUCUCUCUCAACAUCAUUCAACUCUUUCAAUAGAUUUUUUUCUGAUUCAUCUUCUCUUCAUCUUUCUAAAAGUUUUGAACUCAAACCUUUUUCUUUCAAUAAAAGUUCUUUGAUCAAAAACUUGUGCUAUUCAUCUUUUUCAUUCUCUUCUCCUUCUGCCAAAAAGAAUUCAACAAGAACUAAUCGCCUGAAUUCUUUUUGUGUCUCUCUUCUCCCUUUUCCAAAAGAACAAAGGACUAACCGCCUGAAUUCUUUUGUGUCUCCCUUCUCCCUUUUCAAAGAAUUCAAAAGGACACAGUCUGAGAAUUCUUUUGAUUCUUCCCUUUCCCUUAAACAAAAGAUUUCAAAGGACUAAUCGCCUGAGAUAUCUUUUGUUUCCCCUUUACAAAGUUUCAAAGGACUAACCGCCUGAGAACUUUGUCUUAACACAUUGGAGGGUACAUCCUUUGUGGUACAAGUAGAGGGUACAUCUACUUGGGUUGUUAUAACUGAGAACAAGAGAGGGUACAUCUCUUGAGGAUCAGUUCAAGUGGAGGGUACAUCCACUUGGUUGUUCAAAGAGAACAAGGGAGGGUACAUCCCUUGUGGAUCUUUGCUUGUAAAGGUUUUUACAAGGUUGAAAAGAAAUCUCAAGGACCGCAGGUUGCUUGGGGACUGGAUGUAGGCACGGGUUGUUGCCGAACCAAUAUAAAUUCUUGUGUUUGUCUUCUUCUUCCCUACACUCUUUAAUUUCCACUGUGCACUUUAAUUAUCGCUUUUACUUUUGGUUAAGUUUCUAUUUUUGUUCUUUACUUUCUUAACUUUGUAGUAAAAGCCUAAUUGAAUCUAGUAACAUUAAGAAGGAUAAGUUUUACUUAGUAAAGACACAUUAAUAAUUAAUUCAACCCCCCUUCUUAAUUAUUCUGAGGCCACUUGAUCCAACAUCCACUUCCUGUGAAGGGUCCCUCCUGUGCUUUUCAAAUAGACCCCUAGGGAUACUUUUUGAGUGCUCUUCUUGUCUUUGCAUUUAUGAAGGUUUCUCCAAGCCACGACUGGUGUAACUUUAGUAGAUGAACGAAAACAUUGUUGGGUGCUAGGUGCGAGCCGGUGUAGUUGCAUCUUGAUAACUUAUGGAUACACUAGACGUGUCCAUUGAGGAGGCUAUAAAUAAACUAUGGCAUCGGAUGAAAGGGCUUUGAAGGCCUCAAAUGGUGUGUGCACAUAGUCAUGCUUCGUCUAUGCUAGUGCUUGCACUGUGAUGUAAUCUCUUAGAAUGGGUUUUGUGUGGAUGAUCUUAGAGAUGGAAGAUACAAAUAAUGAAUUACCUUCAAUGAGUGCUAGAGGAAACCUCUAAGCCUUUGUCAAGGGUUCCUUUUGUAGUGUUGAUCUGGUAAACUUCUUGAGGUGAAUGUGGGAUGGAGGUGGACAUUGUUUAGGUAUGGGAACUGGACACUUUUGGAGAGGGGAGAUGAGAGUUUCAUCCGUGGACUCACUGUUUGAAGAGGAUGAAGCAAAAUUCUCCUUGUUGCCAGUAAAGGAGACGGUCCAUUCCUUCUCACCAAACUUGGGAUUAGCUUUUGUAGCUCGUGUCUUGAUACGUUUAGGGAUAGUGGAUGGAAUAACAGAUUCUCUAAUUGCAGGAGUUGGUUGGACUGUUUUUGGUCUUUUUGGGGUAAGAGCAACUUGGGUAGUAGCCUUUCGCUUUUGAAGAGCAACCUGCACAAAUCCCUCGAACUCUUUAUCAGUUUCACUUAGCUCUCUCAACCUUUGUGGUAUUGUCUUUUCUUCCCUUGUGAUAUGAACCCACAUGGCACAAGGGCUGACUUAGGAUCGUCUAGGAUUAAACCUUGAUGGAAAAUGCGGAAAUUGAUUAAGGAAAGGAUGGAAAAUAAGGUGGCUAAUUUCGUGGGUCUUAAUAAGGUGGUUCUUGGCAUAAAAUGGAUGAAUGGGAUGGUAAAACGUAGGUUAAGUGGUGGCUGGACAGAAAUAUAGAAAUGACAAUAACUGAAGCUACAGGGCUCCAAAUGAGGUGAUUCCAAAACGAGGUGAAAGGUCUCGUUUUGAAAUUCAAUUUAGGCUCAAGAAUCACUUAAUUUGAGUGCGUAAAAUGGGAGUUAUGGCCACGAGAUAAUUCUGGGCAGAGGUGGAUUUUCUGGAAUUGUGGUUUGAAAGAACAAGGGUGAUGAUGAAAGGAAGGAAAGAAUCACUCUUUCCAGCAAGGGCAACACACAAAGGUUGUGAAAGUCCUUUGAUACAGCCAAGGUGUUCUUGAAUCACUCAAGAAUUUAGGAGAAUCACUCUCACUAAGAUAAAAGAGAUAAACUCUAAUUUUCUGAAUAAAACUCAACUUUGUAAGCAUUGUCAUUGAUUCUUUCAAGCACUUGAAAUGGUCCAUCUCCCCUUGGUUGAAGCUUUGAUUUCCUUUGUUCCGGAAACCUUUCUUUUCUCAUGUGCACCCAAACCCAAUCUCCGGGUUCGAAGACAACCUUCUUUCUCCCUUUGUUGGCUUGUUUAGCAUAGCUUUUAUUUUUCCUCUCAAUUUGAUCUUUGACUCUCUCAUGAAGCUUCUUCACAUAGUCCGCCUUUGCUUGACCUUCUUUAUGCUUAAAAACAGAAACAUUAGGCAUAGGCAAAAGAUCAAGAGGAGUUAGUGGGUUAAAACCAUAAACAACUUCAAAAGGAGAACAAUUAGUGGUGCUAUGAACAGCUCUAUUGUAAGCAAAUUCAACAUGGGGUAAACAAGCUUCCCAAGUUUUUAAGUUCUUCCUCAAAAUUGUCCUAAGCAAAGUUCCCAAAGUCCUAUUAACAACUUCCGUUUGCCCAUCGGUUUGUGGGUGACAAGUGGUUGAAAAUAACAAUUUAGUGCCCAACUUGCUCCACAAAGUCCUCCAAAAAUGGCUUAGGAACUUAGAGUCCCUAUCACUAACAAUGCUCCUUGGCAAACCAUGAAGUCUCACAAUCUCCUUGAAAAACAAAUCAGCCACAUGGGAAGCAUCAUCAAUUUUUUUACAUGGAAUAAAAUGAGCCAUUUUAGAAAACCUAUCACCAACCACAAAAAUGGAAUCUCUACCAUUGCUUGUUUUUGGCAGCCCCAAAACAAAAUCCAUGGAUAAAUCAAUCCAAGGAUACUCCGGAAUUGGCAAUGGAGUAUACAAUCCAUGAGGCUUUACCUUAGACUUUGCCUUUUUACAUACAAUGCAAUGUUCACAAAAUUUCUGCACAUCCUUUUUCAUAUGAGGCCAAUAAAAAUGUUCUUGUAAUGUUUCUAGAGUCUUUUGGACCCCAAAAUGCCCCAUUAAACCUCCUUCAUGUGCUUCACAAACAAGAAAAUUUCUAGUAGAACAUUUAGGCACACACAAUUUGUUUUCUUUGAAAAGAAAGCCUUCAUGUCUAAAGAAACCAUUUUCUGAAAAUUUUUCACAAUUUUUAAAAAUUUCUCCAAAAGUUUCAUCAUUUUCAUACAUGCUUUUCAAACAUUCAAGACCAAUCAAUUUUGUUUCAAGCAUAGAAAGUAAUGCAUGACGCCGAGAAAGAGCAUCGGCUACAAUAUUACCUUUUCCCUUUUUAUGUUUGAUAACAUAAGGGAAUUGCUCUAGGAAUUCCACCCAUUUCGCAUGCCUUUUGUUAAGCUUGCCUUGCCCCUUGAUAUAUUUGAGGGACUCAUGGUCACUAUGAAUGACAAAUUCCUUGGGAUAAAGGUAGUGUUGCCAUGUUUUCAAAGCCCGUACUAAGGCAUACAACUCCUUAUCAUAAGUUGAAUAGUUAAGGGUAGGACCACUUAACUUUUCACUAAAAUAAGCAAUUGGAUGGCCUUCUUGCAUCAACAUAGCCCCAAUCCCAACAUUUGAAGCAUCACACUCAAUUUCAAAAGAUUUUUGAAAGUUUGGCAACGCAAGUAUGGGGGCAUUAGUUAGCUUUUGCUUAAGAACAUUGAAAGCUUCUUCUUGUUUCUCUCCCCAUUUGAAACCAACAUUUUUCUUGAGCACUUCAUUGAGAGGUGCUGCCAAUGUGCUAAAAUCCUUCACAAAUCGUCUAUAAAAACUUGCUAAGCCAUGAAAACUCCUCACCUCGGUCACAGACAUAGGUGUAGGCCAUUCUUGAAUAGCCCUAACCUUCUCCUCAUCCACUUGCACUCCUUUUGAACUCACAACAAAACCAAGAAACACAACAUGGUUAGUACAAAAGAUGCAUUUUUCAAGAUUGGCAUACAAUUGUUCUUCUCUAAGCACAGUCAAGACAGAUUUUAAAUGAUCAAUAUGCAAAUCAAGUGAAGUGCUAUAGAUAAGAAUAUCAUCAAAGUACACCACAACGAACUUUCCUAUGAACUCUCUCAAGAUAUGGUUCAUUAAUCUCAUGAAAGUGCUAGGAGCGUUAGUUAGGCCAAAAGGCAUAACCAACCAUUCAUACAAACCAUAUUUUGUUUUAAAAGCAGUUUUCCAUUCAUCCCCUUCUCUAAUCCUAAUUUGAUUGUAUCCACUUUUUAAAUCGAUUUUAGAGAAGUAACAUGCACCAUGCAAUUCAUCAAGCAAAUCAUCAAGCCUGGGUAUAGGAUGCCUAUAUUUAAUGGUGAUGUUAUUAAUGGCUCUACAAUCGGAACACAUGCGCCAUGUCCCAUCCUUUUUAGGGACCAAAAUCACUGGGACAGCACAAGGACUCAUACUAUCUCUUACCCAACCUUUGCUAAUGAGUUCAUCCACUUGUCUUUGAAUCUCUUUGGUUUCUUGUGGAUUACUUCUAUAGGCUGGCCUAUUGGGCAAAGAAGCUCCCGGAAUGAGAUCAAUUUGAUGCUUAAUUCCCCUCAAAGGUGGUAGUCCAUUUGGCACAUUUGGUGGAAACAUGUCUUGAAAAUCCUGCAAAAGAGUUUUAACACUAGAAGGCACUUCAAAAUCAUCAAAAGUGUUAGUGGUCAAAAUCUGAUUUUUGCAAAACAAGGUAUAUAGUGACUGUUUAGCACGAAACAACCUCUUGACCUCACUUUUUGUGGCUAAAUAGCUCUCCCUCACUUCAAGUGUUUCACUCUUCUUUUGUUCACUUUUUUUCCUCUCAAGUGUUUCCCUCUUUUUCUCACUCUCAAGUGUUUUGCUCACUUUUUCUUUUUCUCUUUUCUCUUGAAGAAGUUUUUCUCUCAUUUUCUUUUGAUCCUCACACACUUCUUGUGGACUCAAUGGCUUGAGCACAAUCUUUUUGUCUUGGUGCAUGAAAGAGAUCUUGUUGGUGUAAUCGUCAUGAUUGGCUCUUUUAUCAAAUUGCCAUGGUCUCCCCAAAAGUAAGUGACUGGCCUCCAUAGGAACAACAUCACAAAGUACCUUAUCAUUGUAUUUCCCAAUGGAAACGUCCACUUCAACUUGCUGCCUCACUUGCACCUCCCCAUCCUUACUAAGCCAUUGAAGUUUGUAUGGCCUAGGAUGUGGUUUAGUAGCUAAAUUUAGCUUUGACACUAAUCUAGCACUAGCCAAAUUGGUGCAACUACCUCCAUCAAUGAUCACCAUGCACACCUUGCCAUUGAUUAAACAUCUAGUGUGAAAGAUGUUUUCUCUUUGGAUCUCCUCCUCAUGCUUCAAUUGACCACCAAGUAACCGCCUAAUCAUCAACAAAUCUCCCUCCGGAGUCUCCUCUUCCUCUACGUACUCACUCUCCUCUUCCUCUUCAACAUCGGAUUCACUUAUAUAUUCUCCAUCUCUAAGAACCAUGGACCUUUUGUUAGGGAACUCAUAAGCAUAGUGUCCUAGGCCUUGGCACUUGAAACACUUCACAUCUCUACUCCUUUUAGAGGGUUCCUCUUGGGACUUUGAGCGAGUUUUUGAUGGGAUAGGUGUGGAACUGCUAGAAGUAGCAGCCCCAUCUUUCUUACCUUUGUCUUUCCAACUAGAAGAACCAAAGUUGGUAAAACUCCUCUUAGCCACUCCCUUCCUUUUUAAUUGUUGCUCCACUUGGAUUGCUUUGUGAAGCAAAUCAUCCAUUUCAACAAACUCCUGCAGCUCAACAAUAUCACGGAUAUCAUUAGUCAAACCAUUAAGAAAUCGAGCCAUAGUUACCUCCUCAUCUUCUUCAAUAUUUUCUUGAAUCAUGAGCACAUCCAUUUCCUUGAAAUACUCCUCAACCCCCUUGUUGCCUUGGGUUAGUUUUUGGAGCUUGAAUUUCAAGUCCCUUGAGUAACUAGCUGGCACAUACCGCUUCCUCAUGAUCUUUUUCAUCUCCGUCCAUGUAUCAACCAUUGGCUCUUCAUUUCUUGCUCUCUCCUUUUGUAGCUUGUUCCACCACACAAGAGCAUAGUCGGAAAACUCCGUGGCGGCAAGCUUCACCUUUUGGUCCUCCUCAUAGUUGUUGCAUGAGAAAACAUGCUCUAUUUUCAUCUCCCACUCCAAGUAGGCCUCCGGAUCAUUCUUUCCUUUAAAUGGAGGAAUGUUGAGUUUAAUACCAUCAAUUCGGUUUUGUCUAGGAACACCAUCAUUCCCUCUUCUCCUCCUUUCUUCUUCAUUAUGAUCUCUAUUCUCCAUUUGAUCCAACCUCUCAUGGAGCGCAUCAUCUCGUUGUUUCAUUAACCUCUCCAAAUGUUGCAUCAAAGCUUGCAUUUGGAAUUGCGAAAGCCCCACUCCAUCAUUAGGAUUAGUACCUGACAUCUCAAACAAACAAAUCAAACGUAACAAGACAAUUAUAGUUGCUGUUUGAAUACCUCACCCACUCAAGUGUAUCACACAAUUAUGGCUUUUCUCUAAUGAAACACUCUUGCCUUUUACCACUCUAAUUCCCCUUGAGUUCUUAGGCAAUUCAAGAGAUUAUGGCCACAACAAAGAACAAUUCACCAAUAUGUGUAAGGUAAGGCUAGAGAGACAAGGAAAAGGUUAAUCAAGAAAAAGGCUAACAAUGUUUUUAGGCACAAAUGAAGGAAAUAAAAUUCAGAAUUUAGGAAUUCAAGUAACAAUCCUUCAUGCAACCAAUAUAUUACCUUAAAGAGAUUUUUUUUUAAGUUCUUCAAGCAUGAACCAUUCAGCCCAAUUUUUUAUUUUUUUUAAUUUUGCUUAUACGAAAUUCUGCUUCUUUUUUUUUUUUUUUUUAUAACAAAGAGAUCAAAAGGCUUAACUUUUGCAAUGGUUCAGCCUAAAAAAAUAUAUAUGAAUAAGAAGGUAAUAUAAAUGGCAAAGAGAAUAAAGAAGGAUGUUACCCAAUAUUUCCAGCAAAGGAAGUGUUGAUCCUAGAACCGGAGCUCUGAUUACCAAAUGAUACAACUCACAACCUUGGACUUUUCUCCUUGAAACUUGGGCUUGUAUUCAAAUAGUAUGGACAACACUUGUUGAAGAGCUUCCUUGGCUUUCCUUGCUCUAGCCCUUGUCAUAGGUCCUCCAAGUCCUUCAAGUGGAUCCUUGCCCUUGCUCUUGAACAUGUCCUCAUCACCUUGGACGCAUCAAAUUGCUCGUGUUUUUUCUUGGUCUUGUGUUCCUUUGCAAUUAACUCCUCCUCUUCUUCUUCCCUCCAUGAUUGCUUUCUUGUCCUUUCCUUUUUCUGUUGUUCAUUCAUGAUCUUCUAAAUUUUAUUGGCAAUGCCAAAGUUGUUGAGACCUCUGUUUUCAUUAGUGAUGCCCUUGGCAAGCCUUUUCUACUUCCUCUUGUUUAUUGCAUCCAAGUCCACCUGAGGAGCUUCCUUAAGGUUUUGUUCUAAGGGAACCUCGAUAGCUUAUAGGUUAGUUUUGCUGAAUUUUUAUUGUUUAGAAACAACUGGACCUUUGGCUAUAAUGGUGUACUUAGAGUCAUCGUCCAUCUUGUCAAAGAUGCGAUAGACACCUUGAUCCCAAAAUACCUUGUUGAUUAUGGCAGCAUAAUAGAUGUCGUCCAUACCACCUAAGCCCUUCAGAUUCCUCAGGAUGUUGAUGUAGAUAGUGUGAGGAAAGUAAAAUGGAAGAUUCUCCAUCAAGUGGAAGAGCACAAACUUGUGGAGAUCUAAUAGUGAUGUCUUUGGACCCUGCUUUGUGGAGAACACUCUUGUUAAGAAUGUUGGUCCUCUCAAACAUCAGAUUGUAGACAAUAAUCUUCUAAUAACCAACUUUGUCAACAUCUUCCUUGUAUAAAGCCCUUGCAACAUGGGAGUCAUAGUUCUUCUCCCAUCCUUCUUGAUAGUUGUUUCAUUCACAAAGGCACUUGAUGGCCCUGGCAAUCAAAUCAUUGAAUGGUUCCUAGAACCUUGGACACAAUCACUUUGCGGUUUGCAAACUCAACAUUCUUUCCAGAAUGUUCUAGUGAUUUUUGGAUAGAUUGUCUGAGGAUCGUUGAAGAAGUGCCUCACUCCACAGAAGAGAAGGGUCUCAUUGAGUUUGAGACCAACUUUCUCAAGUUGUUGGAUGUCAAAGAAGUGUUCAAGGUUUAUAGAGGGCUAAUUGUUAGUAUGGAUGGUAGUCAUCUCUACGAUUGGAAUAAUCUCUAUGGCUGGAAUAAUCUCAACAACAGAUGAGUUUGAAGUUGCCAUUGCAGAGAGUUUUGAGUAAGUUUAGAGAUAGGGUUUGGUUUUAGAGAGGAAGUUGAAGUAUUUUCAAAGGUAGCGUGAGAGUGAUACCAAGAGGCUCUGCUAUUUUAAGGGUUUAUUAUGUGCUUUGAAAUGCAAUCAUUAAGCCCGACAUUUAGGAGGCAACUUAGGAAAAAAGCGUUACAAUGUUCUAAUAUAAAGAUGGUGCAUUUUACUUAAUAACUAUAAAUGCAUGAGUGAGCGUCCAUAUAUUGAACGUUGUAGGUGUGUGUUAAGACUCAUUGGAUAACAUGGCCUUUGAUGCAACAUUGGAUGACAUAUGGAAAUUAAUUAAUUCAUUUUAUAAAUGCCAUUCCAAGGUGAUUUCUUAGCAAAAUCAACCUUUCCUCAGUUAAGGGUUUUAUGAAAAUGUUAGCAAGCUAAUCUUUAACGGGUAUAAACUGUAGAUCCAUUGUACCAUUUUGAACAUGGUCUCUUAUGAAAUGGUGCUUAAUUUCCAUAUGCUUAGCUCUAGAAUGCAAUGUUGGAUUUUUAGAAAGACUAAUAGUAGCUUUGUUGUUAUCACAAUAGAAGAGAAUUUUACUCUCAUGGAUGUUGUAGUCCUCAAAGUGGUUCUUUAUCCAAAGAAGUUUAGCACAACAGCUUGUUCCCGACAUAUAUACAACUUCAACAGUGGACAAUGUAGUCAAACCUUGCUUCUUGCACAUCCAUGUAACUAAGUUACCACCAAUAAAGUGACAACUUCCACUUGUGCUCUUUCUUUCAACUUUGUCACUAGCAUAGUUAGCAUCACAAAAACUUGUGAACUUGAAAUUUUCUCUUCUUUUAAACAUAAAACCAAGAUUAGAAGUUCCAAUUAAAUAUCAAGAAAUGUGUUUAACUACAGUUAGAUGGACAUCCCUUGGUUCUUGUUGAAAUCUCGCACAAAGGUAUACAUUGAACAUGAUAUUAGGUUUGGAUGUUGUGAAAUAAAGCAGUGAUCCUAUCAUUGCUCUAUAUUGAGUCCCAUCCACCUUUCUUGACUCUUCAUCCAGUCCAAGGUAUGUUGUAGGAUGCAUGGAUGUUUUCAUUUCUUUUCCAUCGUUCAUGUUGAAUUUCUCCAGAAGUUCCUUCAUAUACUUGGUUGGUGGAUAUAGAUACCAUUGGUUGUUUGCUUUAUUUGUAGUCCAAGAAGGAAUUGCAGUUCUCCCAUCAUGCUCAUGUUUAAUUUUGUUUGCAUUAGCUUAGAAAAAUCUUCAUAGAGCAUUUCAUUAGUAGUACCAAAAAUAAUUUCAUCCACAUAUACUUGUACUAAUAAAAAUUGAGAAUCAUAAUUUUUGCAAAAGAGCGUUGUGACAACUUUUCCUCUCUAAAAGCCAUUCUUCAAGAGAAAUGAGCUUAGCUUUUCAUACCAAGCUCUUGGAGCUUGCUUGAGUCAAUAUAAGGCGUUGCUGAGUUUAAAAACAUAAUGUGGAAGAGCUUCGCUCUCAAAUCCAGGAGGUUGUUCAACAUAAACUUCCUCUUGGAUUAAUUCGUUAAGGAAUGCAUUUUUUACAUCCAUUUGAUAUAGCUUCAUAUUGUUAUAAGUCACAAAUGAAAGUAAAAUGCGUAUUGCCUCUAGACGAGGUACUGGUGCAUAGGUUUUUUUGUAAUUUAUACUUUCUUGUUGUGAUAUCCUUUGGCAACUAGCCUUGCCUUGUAUCUCACAACUUUACCAUUUUCAUCCAGUUUUAUUUGGAAGACCCAUUUUGCUCCAACGACAUUCUUCCCUUUUGGUAGUUUUCCUAACUUCCAAACAUCAUUAUUCUAAAACUAAUCAAGUUCAUCUUGCAUGGCUUUGAUCCAAUUAUCAUCUUGCAUUUGCAUCAUCAAUAUGUUUGGGUUCCACUUCAAAGAUCAAAACAGUAUGCCCUCGUGAUCUAAGUGAUGAUCUUGUCUGAACUCAAGAUUUUACUUUUUGGAUGAUUUCUUCUCAUGAUGUGUCCAUUGGGUUCCCUUACCACUUCUUGGGGUUCUUGUUGAGUGGAGUCUUCUGUUUCUGGGUUCUUAUUGGAUGAACUUGUUUCUGUUGUGCCAUUGUGUAGUCUGAGAUCUACAAAGGACUCAUCUAGCUCUAGUAAAUCUUUAUCAGACUUAUUUUUGUUAAAAUUCACAUGAAUAGCUUCUUCAACUACUAAUGUUCUUGAGUUGUAAACUCUGAAUGCCUUAGAUGUUUUAGAAUAUCCAAGAAAUGUUCCAUUAUCAUUUCUCGAGUCAAACUUUCCCAAGUUAUCCUUUGUGUUGAGAAUGAAACAUUUAUAUCCAAAUGGAUGGAAGUAUGAUAUGUUGGAUUUUCGUCCUUUCCACAAUUCAUAAGGAGUCUUUUUAAGAAUAGUUCUUAUGUAAAUUUUAUUUUGGAGAUAACAUGCAAUAUUCACUACUUCAGCCUAGAAGUGCUUAAGCGAUGAAUUAUCAUUGAGCAUGGUCUUGGCCAUGUCUUGUAGAGAUUUGUUCUUUCUUUUAACUACCCCAUCUUGUUAAGUUGUUCUAAGAGUUGAAAAAUUGUGAAGAAUACCAUUCUCUUCACAUAAAAGUUGAAACUUAUUGUUUUCAAAUUCUCCUCCAUGGUGACUUCUGAUUGAAGUAAUUCAUACUUCUUUUUCAUUUUGAAAACAUUUACAAAAUUUAAAGAAGACAUCAAAAGAAUCAUGUGAUUCCAAGAGCCAAACGAGAAUGAAUACCACAUUUUUUUUAUGGCGGGCUUUCUCUCGUAAAGCCAAAGAUGCCCCAAGACAAGGGGAAAGGGGACAUGAUCAAUAGAACCUGGCUGGAUCAGGGCUGGGAUAGUGACGCCCAUUCCUAGCCAGUUUCAAAAAGGUUCACUCAUGCUGGAGGGAGCAUCCCCACUUAGUGAUUGGUCCGCUAGAUACGCCAUCUUGAUCUUUUAGAAGAAUUAUUAUAUAAUCUUAAUUAUCAUGUUGUCGAACAAUAUUGAACAUAGUAAAAAAAUAGGGGUUUAAUAACUAGAAAAUAAGAUUUUGAAAAAAAUUCUUUAAAUGUUAAAAUUAUCUAUUGAAUUUGAAUUCUUGUAUCAUAAUUCAAAAAGUUUUUGUGAUUAUUGUGAAAGAAAUAAAAUAAAAGAUAGGAUAGAACUAUGUCAUAUUAUAUGUGGUUUAUCUAAUGUUAAAUACAAAGGCACAUAAUAGAUUAAUCCAGUUGUUAGUGCUAUUUUUUUCUCAGUGAUAUAUAAUUGAUUUUUUUAAUAAAAAAUCUUGUAAUAUGUGUCAUGUACAAUUUGACUAUUAGUAUUAUUCGAUUUGGGAGGGUUUGUCAUCUGUUUUUAAAUUUUAAAAAGCAAUUACAAGGACUUAUUGUCAUGUGAUGGCCGAGAACUACUAUAUUUUUUUAGGAUAAAAUAUAUUUUUAAUUUCUUAAUUAUUGAAGCGGUGGAACAAUUUCACAAAUCGCAAUUCCACUUUUGCUGCAACCUCGCCUAGAGUUUCUGCACUUUCUCGACAAUCCUCUCAUAAUUUCACUUUGUGUACGUUGAUGGUAACGGAGGCGGACGAGCAGUGAUGAUUUGAUUACGGUGUCGAGUCCGAGGCAGUGGAGCACGACGACCUCAUGUUGGCGCCGGCGGAGACAAAAAGGACGGGAUAGUGGUUGCGAAGGAGGGGGGAGGUCUCGGAAGUGGAGGGGGAAGGAGAGGACCUCGCUUCAUAUUUUCCAGAUCUCCUCAUCUCUCAAUCUGUUCAUAUUUUCCGGUUAGAUCUAAGUCAGAUUCGCACGUCUGUUCUAGAUUUCUUCAAGAUCAGGAACGUGCUCAUCUUUCUCCAAAUUUCUUAAUUCGCGUUUGAAGUGUUAUUGUUCAAAAAUUAAUUUGCAAUUAAACUAUUGUUGUCGACAACAAUUGUUGUAAUUGAACAAUGUAUGUUGUAGCGUGCGUUGGAAAAUUUUGAUUGGUUGAUUCAGUUGGUAGACCAUACAUUUGUCCUUCAUGUUGAAGAAAUAAAAGCAAUUUUUGGAGGCUAUUAAGCGCGAUAAAAUGCUUCAACACAUUUAAAAUAUUUUCACCAAAUAAUUAAUGAGGGCUAAAAAUUGUACGAAACUUUUUUUUUUUUUAUCACAUAUCAAUUAUUAUUUCAUCAUUUAACAGAAAAACUUAACGGUAUAGAUGAAAAGUGAGAAAAAAUAUUUUGGAGAACAAAACCGAAUAACAUGUGUGAUUGAAGGACCGAAAAUCUUAAAUAAUUUAAAUACUAAAAAUAUAUUUUAUCCUAUUUUUUAUCUACAUAGUUGAGAACUAUGUAAUAAUUUUCUCGGUAUGUUCUCUCCUUUUGUUCCACAAGCGCCACUAUGUAAUAAUUUCUCCACUUAAAUAAUCUCAAGCACGCAGUUUGAUUUGUUUUCUUGUUUCUGGAAAUUAUUUUCUAGCUGGUGAAAAUUAUUUUUGCAACGACAUUUUAGAUAUUACCAACAACAAUGAUCGCUGCUAAUAAAUAGCAUUGCUUCCUGUAGUGGCCUAGGUGCAUGAGAUUUAAUUUGCGUGAUUGGGGAGUAAACGCACACAAGCACCAUUUUGUAGGAGUAUAAGAUAAAGUAGGAGUUAAUAUUUAUCAUGCAUGUAGAUAAAAAAAAAAAAUUCUUCUUCUAGCUAGGCAGCCUAACUCAAUAUAUACUUCUUAUAUAUAUAUAUACAUAUAUAUAUAUAUAUAUAUAUAUAUAUAUAUAUAUAUAUAUAUAUAUAUAUAUAUAUAUAUAUAUAUAUAUAUAUAUAUAUAUAUAUAUAUAUAUAUAUAUAUAUAUAUAUAUAUAUCAUGUCCACUUGUGGGAAAUUAAAUAUGAGCAUACACUGACAAGUAAACAUUCACAAGAAGACAUAAUUAUAUAUUAUCGGAUGGAUUGUUAUGGAAACAAGAAUGAAGAAGUUUUUUGAAAUGUAGCAACCCGCAGUGAAUAUUGACUACAUUAUUUUUCUAUAAUUUGACAUAAUUUAUUCAUGGCUAGAUUAAUUAUUUUCUUAGUCCGUUAAAUUUCAAACACCUUUUUAGUUUUGAUUCUCCAAUUAAAAAAUUAUUCUUUUUAGUCCUUUAAAUUUAUAAAAUAUUAUUUUUAAUCUCUUAAAUUUAUUUUAAUAGAUUAGAAUUUAUUAUUCUUUUUAGUCAUUCAAAAUAAAGUCGAGAGACUUAAAAAUAAUAAUUAUUAAAUUUGAAGGAUUAAAAGAAAUUUAAUUGAGGAGCAAACUAAAAAUAUCUCAAAUUCAAUGAACUCUAAACAUAUUUAAAUCUCUUAUUUAAUUACACCCAUAAAUUAAAAUCAUGAUAUGAAAUAAAGGCACAUGAUCAUGCUGUGGAUGAUAUAGUAUGGAGCGUGGCAAAUAUCUACAGACUCUAGCUUCCUUGUAGACAUGGCCAUGGCUUCAGUAAUACCCUUUAUAAGGGCUACAAUGUCUAUCUUCACUACAUAUGCAAAGCCCCUCCAAAGCACACCCUUCAAAUUUUUCUGAUUCCCUCCCAUAAAGUAUGCCAUCUCACCAUUCUCACUAGAGAACAAAUUUUGUGGAUCCAAUUCUUUUUCGGCUGCAAUAAACAUGUCAAACUUGGGAUACUUAUGCUUCACCCCAAAGAAUGCUAUGUUCCUGUUCUUAGCCCAAUGUGUCUUAGCACGCCAUACUUGAAGAAGGUCUAGUGCUCCACUUCCUCGCGCACAUGUUGAUUCAGCCUAGGCUUUAAUGGGUUGUUUGCGCGAUAAUAGUUGACAUCAACCAAGAGUCUUCAUGCUGCUCAAGAUAAGCACUUGACCCUCAUCGGUUUUUUAUAAAAUUGAUGUUAAUAAAAAUACAGUGGCAUAUUUAUAAAUAAUGUGAUUUUUGAAAAAAUCGAUGUUAACAUGAGUUCGUUAACAUCAGUUUUUCAAAAUCUAAUGUUAACAAACUCAUGUUAAAAUCGGUUUUUCCUGUCGCAAUGUGAGCCACGGUGGGAUGACAAUAAUAAAGAGAUAAAAAGAUAGUUUCCCAAAAAAAAACUAGGGGGGUCGUCACCAACGUUUAUUUAAGGAAAACGUCAAGAAAACCAAAAAAGAUAAGGAAUGGUCUAUGGUUUGAGUAAAAGCAUUCGGAAGUCGUUUACGCAUGAGAAAGGUGUUAGCACCCACACGCCCAUCAUAAAGACGACAACCUUUAAUCGAGUGUACAAAAAAUAAAGUAACUUUUUAAUUAUUUAUCUUCCCUUGAGAACAUGAGUUAUGCUUUUUUUUUGUUUAUUUAGAAAAGGAAAGCGCAAAAAGGGUAUGUUUUUUAGUUUUUUAGGUCGACAAGGGAUUUGCCCUCGCUCCUACGUAUUCUCGGGUGCAAUGAGGAAAUUAGACACAUAGUUUUUUGGGUAAAAAAUAGCUGUGUGUUGGGUUGAUUUUUUUUUUUGAAAGAUUUGUUUUAAUUGCGUGACAAAGAGUUGUUAAGGCAUUGGACCUUGAAACAACGUUGAAUUUUAAGAAAACAACGAAGAGAAUCGCUUAAGGCAUUGGACCUUGAAAUGAUCUCGAGUAAUGUGCAAUUUUUGUGGAGGAGAAGAAGAAUUGAGUUAUUAUUAGUUUGUGGAGAAAAAGGAGAAUCUCAAGUUUACUUUGUAAAGUUAAGCAAGUUGGAGACCCAACAUGACUUUCACGAAAUUUUACUCACACGUUAUUGAAACUCUACCAAGCAAGUUGGAGACCCAACAUGGAGUUCAUGGAUUGUGAAAAAAAAAAUUUGGGUUUGCGGUAAACUUUGCAAAGUCAAGCAAGCCGGAGACCUAGCAUGGCAUUCACAAAAUUUACUCAGACAUUAUUGAAAUACUACCAAGCAAGUCGGAGACCCAGCAUGGAGUGCACAGAAUGUAAGCGCAUACUAAAGAGUACUAACAUAGAAUUUCAAAAUGAUUAACAUAGCAUUAAGUAAUCAAUAGACGAGACACACACAAAUAAAUCAAAUGGAAUAGAAAGGGAUAUAAUAGAAGUGAGAAAUACACUUAAUAAUUAAGGGUGCGAGGUUAAAACAUUGGGAAAAUGAAUAAGUGAUGGAAUAUUUACAAUGCAUUACAAACUAACCAGACAAUGAUAAACUAAACAUGAAUAAUAGAGCCAAACCAAAAAAGAAAGUGGUAUAAUAGCAGUUUUUACUUAAUUUGGGCUAUGCCCAAAAGGAGUGGGGAUGUGCGUGUAAAUGGAGGUGUGACUAGUGAUAUUUAUUUUAUGUACAGUUAUUUUUUGAAAAUGGGUUAGACCCAAAAUGAAAGGAAAAAAACUGUAUAUGUGAAAAAGGUGGUGUUAUAGCAAUUUUUUUUUCUAUUUUCAUUUUUUUUGUAUUAUAAAAAAAGAUGGACAACAAAUAUUUAAAAAAAAAAUCUAAGAUUCUCACCAGUGGCCAAGGGUUCAUCAACGAGUUGAAACGAAUCAAACAAAAGACCAAAAGAAAGAGGAUAAGGGAAGGAAGGAAGAGUAAAGGAAAAAAAAGAAGAAAGAAACAAAGAGAUGAAAUGAAAGGAAUAAGGGGAUAUCUAGAGGUCCCUCCUCCUUUUCUUGGUUGUAGUGCCACACAAUGUAGUGAGCUCCCUUCAUCUCCUUAGGAUUCGUGCCUCUUCAUAUUUUCCUGUGUUCUUCCUACACCUAGAAAGCUUUCAAGAACAAUAUAGUCGAUUAAAUUCUUGAUUUAAUCGAUUAAAGUAUUCUUGAUCACUUCUAGGAACACUUUUAAUAACAAAAUAGUUGAUUACGAUCACUUGGUAAUCAAUUAAAGUCUCACUCCUGAAAAACCAAUCAUUGUCUCAAUUGAAUUGUGUAAUCGAUUAUAAUUAGUGAUGUAAUCCUACCCCCAAGGGCAUUGGAAAGAAGACUCCAAGAAGAUUGGGUCAAAAAUGCAGGAGAAGGCCUGAGGGUUCGUAUGAGCCUUAAGAUAGAUUUUGGGUUCAUGGGCUAAGUAUGAACCCACUUUUCUUUGUAAAUAUUAAAAUAAGUUUUCCUUCUUUUGGGUCUUGUAUUUUGACCAUUUUAUGUUUGUAGUGUGAUGCAAUCCUACCCCCCAAGGGCAUUACAUAAAAGAUUCCAAGAAAAUUGGGCCAUAGAUGUAGGAGAAGGCCCCAGGGUUCUCAUGAGCCUUAGGGUAGAUUUUGGGCCCAUGGGCUAAGUAUGAGCCCACUUUUCUUUGUAAAUAUCAGAAUAAGUUUUCCUUCUUUUGGGCCUUGUAUUUUGGUCAUUCUAGUAGUAUAGGGUUUUAGCCUUGUAUUUCAAGGCAUUUUGAGUAGUCUUUGUAGUAGGGACUUUUUGUAUUUUCAUGUAUUUUGGCAUGAGGGUGAGCUUAGCUAUUAGAGGGGUAUGUGUAGCUAAGCUCUAACUUCUCAUCUUAAGGAGGUGAGCUUAGCUUAGUAGAGGAGUGUGUGUAGUGUGACGCCCUCUACCCCUCACAUAUAUGUACUAAUAAUAAAAGGAAUAAGAAAUUAGAAUUAAUUAAAAGUUUUUAAAAAACAUUUAAAUACAAGCCUUUCAAAAGGGUAAAAGACUCACAUUUACUUUUCUAACAUCAUAAUAAAACUUUUCCAAAUAAAUAAUAAAUCAUCUCAGCUCAAAACAAAGCCGUCCAAGAUUUCAUGCAAUUAAUAUAGAAACUUAUCCCCCAAUGUCACAUCCUAUCAGAGUAUUGUGUUCCCAUGUCCUCUAGCAUGAGGUUCUUCAUAGUCAUCCACUUAACCAUUUGUUCCCACGAACACAAGGUUUG